UAAACCUUAUCGAUCAUCACUAGCACACGAGUUGAGGUUUACAACCUAUCGUGUUGACAUUAUUUUGAUUCUGUGCCAAUCCAAUCGAGUUAAUUAUGCAUGUGAGUUCUAUGAGUUCUCAUUUUGAACGCAUAAAAGGCAAAGCACCUUAAUCAAUGAAAGGUACAUUGAUAGGAAAGGGUGAGCUGCUUAACUACUUGGAAGACAUGGUGGGCAGCUGUGCUACCAUAAAGGCAAGAAAUCGAGAUCAAGAAAGUUCGAUCCAUAAGAGUUUGAAUUUGUCGUAAACUUUGGUUUUGACAAAUUCACAUGGAUAGGAACAAAUACACCGUUUAAAUCUAAGUGUCAUAAGAUUUCCUCCUUCAUGAAAAUGAUUGUGAGGAAAUGCUUUCACUAAGACAGAUUUUAAGAAGAUAGUGAUUGUAAAAUUGCAUUCUCGAAUUCAAUUAUGGUUACGGCAUCCCUUUCCAUAAUUUGAAUUGUGAGGUUUGGCAAUUAGUCUUAAUUGUUUAGACACACAUAUGAACUAUCGAAGGCAAAGGUGUAUAAGUUCAAGAAGCCUUGAUAAAAGAUUAUCAAAGCACUAAGUAUUAGAAACAUGAACUUAAGAAAUUCAAUAAGCAUUUUUUUUCUGAAAGUUAAGAUGUUUAUGAAUACAUGUCGAAGCUAGUGGGAGCAUAAGUGUUAUGUUUUAUAAUAAUCAUCAAGAUAGUGGGAGCAUAAAAGUUAUGAUUGUAUGAUUAUUAAGGAAAGUAUUGCAAGGUUAGCAAUAUUAAUUAUAGAAAACAAGAGUCAUACUUUGCAAAGUCGCAAUAGUUGAAGAGUUGUUUUGCUAUAAUUAAGGGAGAGAAUAUUAUGCUUCAUUUCAAAUCUAAAGGUUUAGGUUGAGAAAUGUUAAUAAAAUUUAGUCAAAGGUACAAAGUGUGUUCUUAAAAUUUCGAUUAUGAUUACGGCAUCCCUCUUCACAAUUCGAAUUUUGAGAACAUAGCAAAUAAAACAUUAUGCGUCGUGUCCCAUACGCUUCGGGUAUAGGAUCGAUUGCAAAUGCUUUAAUGUUUGACCAUUCUAAAAUUUUCCAAAUGUCGAGCGCAUUUAGAGGGAAAAGGGACUAGAAUUGGUUUUGACUAAAAUAAUUAAACAACUAUCAAAGGACAAUCAAAGUUCGACGAGGAUUGGUCGCUUGUGAGUAGUUGGAAGUAUAGUAUUGGAAAAUAUGGAAAUGUUUCCAUAUUGGAUGGACCAUAUCGACAUCAUUACGAAUAGAUAAGAUUCUAUUAAGAAUGAGUUGUCAUAUGGAACAUAUGGAAGUGUGUCCAUAUUGGGAAUUGAAUAUUGAGAAAUCUAUGACUAGAUUAGAAACUUCUAUGCAAAAGGAUGUUCAAAGAAUGUACUUUGAGUGAGAGACAUCACAUCUAUGGAAUUGUCUUGUAACAAUCUCCGAUAGAGGACUUUGUAAUAUCAUUGGCAAUAGUCUUUGUGACUUUGGUGCAGUGACAUUACGAAAGGAUAGUUGCAUAGAAUGUUAGAAUCUAGCAUAUUCUAUAAGUAGCAAGAAUUUGAUAUUCUUUCACUUAUGAAAAAGGAUUUGGAGUUGUGAAAUGAGAAUGAUUGGAAAUGUGUUCAAUGUGAUCUAUUUCACAAAGUAAGAACCAUAGGUAAACAUUGUGUGCAUGCUAGGAGCAUGGGACAAGUGUUGUAAUUCAAGUAAGAAGUUGAUUACCCGAAACGACAAAUAAUGAGUAAUCAAUAUGGUGAUAAAUAAAAGGUGUUUUAUUUAUACUCAAAGGUUUGAGGCCAUAUGGGAUUAGUAUUAUUCUUGUGUUUCACAUUUGCAUGUUUUGACUUCCAGAAUAAUUGAGUUUAUUAAGAAUAAUCGAAUUAUUCGAACGGGCCACAGUCGUUCAUAUGUUGGAAGUAGAUAUGAAUGAAGACUGUCGUGAAUUGGUGUGUGGAUUGUCUAAAAGAGUAUUAGACAUAAGCAAAUGUUUGCUGCAACGUUCAUGAGUGCUUAUGAAUAUGAUUUGAGCAUUGGAUUAAACCCACGCUCACUUGGAUCACUCCAUGAAUUGUAUCACGAGUGAUUGGUGAGACGAUAACAUCUUAUAUUCUUGAAACCGAGAUGUGUGAGUUGUAUCUUGCAAAUCGGUUGCACAUUGAUAAUAUGUAAACGCACCAGUAACUUGGUGUUAUAAAACAUAUUGUUGUGUGUGAUUCGGUGCGUGAGUACAAGCAAGCAUUGUAUCAAAGUUUAUCCGUUCCUUUUAUCCAAAGUAGGAUAAAAGCGAUAUCUUUGGGCCCCUCGAUGGUUUAGUGAUGACAAACGUAAAUGCUCGGCCGGGCUAGGGCUAAUUUGAUUUGUUCAAUUAGUCAGUCGUCAUAAAUCGGAAAUCGAGAUAUAGUACAAAGAGAAUGAUUUGAAAUCAUAUCUCAUAUGAUAUCUAGAAUGGAGGAAUAUAUGAUCCCUUAUCUAAGGACACGCGUAUUUGAUAUGAUCAGAGUUGACAGCGGCUUUGGAAAGCUACGAUUGCAGAUCGGGAUCUGAAGUCAUACGCAGAAUAGUUAUUAGACUUAUCCAAGUGGGAGACUGUUGGAUUAGUGUCUAAGUCCAUAACUAUUUUGGUAUGUACUUGACCCGAUGGUGCAUGGUCCUUUUGGGUUGCCUUCACCAAAGCAACUUGAUUGGAGAAAUAAAUAUAGAGAGAGAGGAUAAUAUGAUUUAUUAAUAUGUUAUAAGAAUAAUAUAUUAAAGGAGAAAUCAUAUUUGUUUAAUUAAUAUUGGUCAAUAAUUAAUUAAGAAUUAGUUUUGUGAUCAAAUGUAAUUAAUUAAACUAGAGGGGCUGAAUUGUAAUUAUGUGAUAGUUACAAAAUAAGGUAAGAAUUAUCUUAUAAGUAUGGUGAACGAAUUUAAGGUUGAAAAGCCUUAGAAUUCGAGUAUGAUAAGGAUUCAAGGAUUAUCUUAUGGGUUGCUUGGUGGAUAAGCAACUAGAUAAGGAUAAUGACUGAAACCCUAUCUCUACACCUAUAUAAACACCCCUAGGCUCAUGAAUUCGUGUAUCCCUUCCCAAGAAGUCUUAGAGACGAAUUCUAACCUCCCUCCUCUCUCUUUAUACCUUCUCCACUUGCUUAUGGUGUUUGUAAGCCAUUAGAGGAGUGACACUUGUGACUCUCAGCUUUCCAAGGUCAAUUCAAGGAGGAAUUGGAUUGUUAUUGCUAUAUAACAAUCAAGGUAUGUUCUUAAACCUAUUUACAUGUGAAUUCUGAUUUCCAUAUGCUAGAAUUAGGGUUCAAAGUCUUGGAUUCAAAGUAUGUACAAUAGAGAAACCUAGAUCCAAGUUUUAGGGUUUGUAUGAGCACAUAGGAUGUCUUAUGACCAAAACCCAUCAGUUAGCUAGUCGGUGGACUGGGGUUAAGGGAUUAAUCAGCUAGGCGGAGAUUAAUCGGGGACCAUUAAUUGCUAAUUUGUUAGAUUUUAAAAAAUUAAAUAUGACUAAUAUCAUAUAAAAGUUCGUAAAUGUCACUAAUAUCAUAACAAAAUAGAUUAAUAUGAUAAAUACAACAUGAAUCAUACCUCAAAUAGUUUUUAUUGAGAUAUAAAUUCUUCAAAGUGUUAAAAUUUCAUCAGGUUCUACUGUUUCAGUCAUUGUGUAUGCAUGGAUUAAUCGCUAGGCGCUCUCUAAUCGGUCGAGUAGCGCCUAGGGAUUAAUUGGAGAUUAAUCGGGACCUAAUCGGGAUUUUUACAACACUGUUAUUUACAUUUAUCCAACAUUAAGGUAUUCCAAAUUAAAACAUUCAUCAAAGUAAUUCCCAAAAUCAUAAGUUGCGGAAAAACAUAGGUGUGAGCGCUGCGAUCAAGUCGGGCCCUUCCCUUUCGAAUCGGAAGUACCUGAAACCAUAAACCACAAACUGUAAGCACAAAGCUUAGUGAGUUCCCCAAAAUACCACAUACCAUACAUAACCAUGAUCCAAACAUAGCAGACAUAUCCAAACAAUCAAUAAAAGUGCUAUGUGUCAACCAUAGUCUUGUCAUUAUGCCACGAGCUACCUCGUGGUCUUCCUUGUCAGGCCGGGGGCCACAACCCUGGGCCUUACCAACAAGUUCCAGGAGCCACUUUUGGGUCUUCCAUGCAAGCAUCACAAAGACAACUAGUAUACAAUCUACACUACUUAAUUAACUGCCAAAGUUCAGACUCAGGUCUUGCAUACAGUUUGCCAGGAGUCGCCUCCUGGUCUUUCAUACAAAUUGCCAAGGGUUACCCUCGGGUCUUCCUAUAAUACAUAAACCAAAUGGGCCAACAUUGCUAUCUUUGACCCAUAGAACAGUGAGGAGACUCACCUUGAAUGCAGAAGUUCACUGAAAGAAAUCCCUAGCUACUGCUGCCCUAAUGAUUCCUCCGGGCUAUCAAUACCAAGAUAACACCCAAUUAGCAAUUGGGUUCCAAACUAUGAUCCAUAAACCAUACUUGGGGUAAAAUGACCAUUUUACCCCUAACCCAACUGGAACCAAAACUGAGGCCUAAGUCCAAAAACCAUAAAGGCCCAAAACCAAAAGUUACACAAAGGCCACUAAAAUUGGGCCCAACCCAUAUGGGCCUUAUCCUAAAGCCCAAAAAUUUCCUUUUGUCCAACAUUUGAUCUUAGAUGGUCCAAAAGGCCCAAAUCAACAAAACCCAAAUAGGUAGCCCAAAACCGAAAUGACACCACAAGGCCCAAUAAGGCCCAAAUCAGCAAGACCGACAUCCAAAGUUAAGUCCAAGCCCAACAAACAAAAACUCCAUUGAUCGAACGAACGCACGACAUCCAAGGGCUGAACGCACGACGUUCGUCGCCGGACAAAUUGACAGGGACUCAAGACGGAACGCGCUGCGUUCCCAGGGGCUACGCACGACGUUCAAGGCUAAGUUCCAAAUUCUCAUUCUAAGGACUUAAUCCAUUAAGUCCAACGUCUAGAACCCCCAGAAUAGUCCCAUAACAUUGACUUAACCCAUAAAGUUGAAGGCUUUAACCCUUUGCAUGGCUUAAAGAAGCCCAACACCAAAGAUGAACCCCAAAGGUCAAAAUCACCCCAAAAUGUCUUUAAAACUUCUUAAUACCUUAAGACCUCACUCCAAACUUCCAUAUCUGAUUUCAAGGGACUUCUUAAGUCAUAAAGUUAUGGCUUAACAUAACUCAGUGGGACCCAAAUCAAAACCCUAAGUCCUAAACUUCGUCAAGUGACUACCAUAUCAUGCAUGGAAGGUUUAUACCCAUCAAGAUCCAAACUUUAUGACUCUAUAACCUCAAGAAGUACCAAAUAUGAAGCUCAAAGGUUCUAGAGUAACUUCUACUCACAAGAACCACCUCAAAGGGACCAAAACCAUAACAAAAUACCACUUGGCUAGAUCUACAUGAAAGAGUUGUCAAGGUUGAGACUUUAUACCUCUAGAAGAUAGAUCUAGGUGCACAAAGCCAGGAUCCAAAAGCUCCAAGUCAAGCAAUGACUCUUCAAGAAGUUCAUUCUUCUUCGGUUCUUCCUCAAGCACCAAAAACACACAUAAAUCACUUUGAAGCUCAAGAAUCACUCAAAUGGAGGCUAGGGUUUCGUUCUUAGGGUUAGAGAGGAUGGAGGUUGAAGGAAAUAUGGGUUGGAGGUGAUUUAAAGUCUUUAAAUAGGGCCCAAGACCCUAAUUUAGGGGUUUAAUCUGGCCUGACGAACACAACGCGUUCCCAAAUGCACCCGCGUCCAAAUUCCAAUGUACGCCAUGAGUACCUCCCUUGUACGCCAUGCGUACCCGUUUUGGCCCAACACCCCUCUAACUUUCAAAUGAUCAUAACUUUUGCAUCCCUUAUCCGUUUUCAAUGUUCUUUAUAUCCACAAAAAGGUAACGAGAAACCCUACACUCCUAUAAACUUUAUCUGAAAGCCAACCAAAAUUAAAUCCAAAAUUCAUAAAAGACUGAAUUAUCAAAUUACGAUUAUACCCUUGACCUCUGAACACACCAUCGAACACUUGGAUCACUUAAACCAUCACACCCACACCCGAGACGGGCCAAAUUCUUCCUUCCCUAAGGCCCUAAGCCUCAUGACCACUGAAGAUUGGGCCGCGACCCCAAAUAAAGAAGCAAAUCUGAAACUGAAUGUUAUAGUUUCCUAUGAUUCACUUUGUUUUCUAUUUUCGCCAAACAAUGGAUUUAUGAUUCUUGUUGUACCUCGUCCAAUGAAAACUCGCUCUCAUCUUGGUAUCUCUAAACCCAUAUAGAGACUCGAUCUUCACACAACUACUAUCUCUCAUAUUCCUCGCUUUCACCUAAAAGCUCUCUAGGAUCCGAAUUGGCAACAAGCAAUAAUAAAUGAAUACAGUGCACUUAUUAAGAAUAAUAUUUGGGUACUUGUUCCUAGGCAUAUGAGUGUGUUAAUAUUUUCAGAUGCAUGUGGUUAUUUAAACACAAACAAAAUAUUGACAGAUCCAUGAGUAGUUGUUAAUGGUUGUAACUAUGGUAAACCCUUUAGCCAGGUUGUAAAGGAGUCACAAUUUGAACGUUUUGAGUCUGGUAGUUUCCAGAAAACGGCUUAUUCAAACUUGAUGUUAAGAAAACUUUCUUGCAUGGACACCUUGCUGAGACUGUAUACAUGCAUCAAUCAUUGAGAUUUGUUGAUAAAUUUCUUCCUAAUCAUGUUUGUCGUCUACAAAAAUCAUUAUAUGGGCCGAAACAAGCCCAAGAGGUUGGUUCUAACGUUUUGCCACCUAUGUCAUCACUUUCGGUUUUAGUUAUAGUAAAAUCAACCCAACACUCUUUAUUUACAAACAUAGUAAUGAUCUGGAAUAUCUUUUCCUAUACGCCGACGACAUCAUCAUGACCACUUCGUCAGCAUCCCAUGCUUAUGGCAUCUUGUGGUCAUGAAUUCUCUAUGAAAGAUUUAGGCGGUCUUAACUAUUUUCUUGGUGUCACGGUUACUCGGAACUAAGGUAUGUUUGUGUCUCAAACAAAAUAUGUAAGUCACAUCUUGGAACGUGCAUGCAUGCUUAAUUGUAACACUUAUAAGACUCCCGUUGAAAUCGACCAUAAACUUGGCCCAAACCGGUAAUGCAUGACAUGCAAAACCUUGUACCAUAGCCUUGUCGGGGAAUUUCCAUAUUUAACAUUCGACAUCCAACAAGUGUGUUUUUACAUUAACAUAAUAGUAUGUUAAUGUAUUAUAUCCACCUGACAAAAGAUUUUGUGUUAUUGUACAAUUAAAGCUUGAUCAAAAAGUUACAAAAACAGUUAUUUUUAGAAAAACCUCAAUUAAAAAGUUUCAAAAAACAGUUGGUUUUUAAAAAAAAAAUCAUAAAUUGCAGAAAACACUUAUUUACAACUUUGAUGCUGAUGUCCUUUCUAGCUUAUGUGGCAUGAAAAAAAUUGAUGUACCAACAUGCUACCAUUUCCUUCCUUCCGCCUAGACAAAGACAAAAAAUACAACACUAUUUUAAGAUAACUCUCUAUAGACAUUGAUAGUUUAAAAAAAAUAUAUACUUUGGGGUCGCCCUUUUUAUUAUUCUUAUCCGUUUAUUAUCCUUAUCCAUUCAAAAACUAAAAGUCAUAAGAGUUUGUUAAUGAUUUCCUAUAUAUUAAAUGUAAGAUGUAAGAUACUGAAUCAUAUGUAUUUUACAACAUAACAUGCCAUGUCACAAAUCUAAUCAAGAUGCUCAACUAGUCGACAAAAAAGUAACAGGAUUAUUUGGUAAUGUUUUCAUCCAGCUUCAAGCCAAAGCUCCAUUGCCGAGCUAUUCAAACAAUAACAAGUAAGCUUAGAUGUCAGAAGUUUAUCACCAAUAACUAGGGAAGACGACACUAAAAACUUAAGUCAUGGUAGUAGCAGGCUAGUAGUAUACACAUAAUCCCUCAAAGAUAACAAGUACCAUGCCAGACAGCCAAUAGUCUGGAUAAAUGACAAUCAAAUCCUAAAACUCAUUAACAGAUCAAACUUUGGUGAAUCCAUAUCAUAUAAACCCUACUAGGCUAAAAUCACUGGUGUGUAAUUAUGUUUUUUUUUUUUUUGCAAAGCCAUGUUCCUCAUCUCCAAGAGAUUUGAUAAAGUAUUUAAAAUCAUACAAAUUCACUACCACUUGAGUUGGUUGAGAUUCAACACAUGACACAGAUCUUCAUUCAACACAUACUCUUUUUAUGGCAUAACCAGACUAGGAAACGUAAUUUUGUUAGAUGAUGAUAUUGAGCAAAAUUCUGAAAGAAAAUUUUACACCAUAAGAUGAAAUGGAGGAAAAAAAAAGUAGCAAGUUUGACAUUUUCUGGUGCAAAAACAAAGGGUUUUUUUUUUUUUUUUUUUUUUUUACAAAGGAGACUGCAGAAUAUAAUAUUUAGCAUAUUCCUGCAAAGAGUGUUUCAGGCAGCAUAUUCAAGUGAAGUGAGAGAGUAAGACAGGAGAGAUGAUGAGAUCCAUAUAGCAAUACCUGGCACCAGCAGCCAACUUUGUUACAAGUUAGAUUCAACACUCAAAUGGCCUCUCACAUAAAUAAUAAAAAAAUAAUAAUAUGCCACCUGCUGCCCAUACCAUACCAUAUAGGGAAGAAAUGGAAGUCCUCAGUCUGCAGAAGUAGAUGGCAUGCAUAUCAACAAGAAAAAAAUAAAAACAAAACAUGUUCAUAGAGAUGUGAAUUAUAUUGUAGAAACAUACACAGCCAAAAUUCAUAUCUAAAAUAUUAGUAAAAAAUGAAAAAUAUUAUUAUCAGCAAGCAAUGAUGCAUAAAAGAUGUGAAUUUCUGAAGUUGGGCAACACCACAGCAAGAGCAAGAAGAAUAAAGAUGUGAAUGUGAGUCUGAAACUUGAGUCACUCAGAAUUCAGAAACCAAACAAAUUAGGUUGGUUUGGUUUGGUUUGGUUGAAAGCUCCAAGAAACCUGCCAAACAAUAUCCACCAUAAACAAGAAGAAUCGUUAUCAACUAAUUCACCUACAUAUCUUAUCUCAUAUCAUAAAUCAUACAUUACAUUACAACUGCCUAUUCACUCCUAUCUCAUCCAUCACCAUAAAUUCAUCCUUUCAAAGCCCCCCCCCCCCCCCUGCACCAACCAUUCCAAUAACUUUUCCAUUUCUUUAUUCAAAAACCAAGCCACAAAUUCAGUAUUUAUCUCAUUGCUAGUCUUUUACUUUCAACAAAACUAACAGCUCUUGUACAAAGAAAAACAAAUCCACUCUUAACUCUUAAGUCUUACAAGAAAAAAGGUCAAAUAACCCAAUAAUGACUUAAAAACAGUAGCCAUUGUUAGCAUGCAACAACAGCUGUAAAAAAAGUAACACUGUCAGACUUUGAUUAAAAUUACAAUUUACAAAUACAAAGCAGCUCAUGCCUCCCCUCCAUCUGCCACAGAAAAAAAAAUGUCUAGCAACUAGGUUUUAUUUAGCAGAAUCUGUCAUUGAUGAAACAGUAAACUUUAACUUAAGUACACAUUAUUUUAAUUAUUGUUACAUUAGAAGAACACAAUGGUUCUUAGUGGCUAAAAAAAAACAUAACUCUUCAAAUUUGUAGAUUCAUGGACAUUAAUUUCUAUUUUGUCUCGAGUAAUUAAUACAAAAUUUGUAACAUCAUGUCUAUAUGUUCAGAUUGUUGACUAUCUAUUUUAAGUCAAGAAUUUCAGUCGAACUUAAGUAAGUGACUAAGCAGAAGCCAACUCCUAAACAGAGAAAGGUAGGUAGAAAAUAAGGUGCAGACUUACAGUCGAUGCAUAUGCAGAAGAAGUAGAAGCAAGAUUCAUUUCAUCUCAGCCAUAAACUUGUCAUACUCAGGGUCUGUGCCAUAAGUAGUUUGCUGAGUUUGGUCUGCAGAGAGAUUUAAAGACCAGGGUGCAGCUGCAAAACUUUGCUGCUCAACUACUGACUGAGUGUAAUAAGAAGAGUAAGGAUAUGCAGUUUGGGUGUUUGGUGUUGUUGUUGUUGUCCCAUAAACAUUACUAGACUGGGAUGGGGACUGUGCAGGAGGUGCAUUCAUAUUAUUUGGGUAGCUUUGUUGGGCUUGGGCCUCAGUAUUAGUAGUAGUAGUAGUAGUUGAUGUAAUAACGCUCUUGUUCUGAGGUGGAGGAGGAGGAGGAGGAGGAGGAUAUUGAACACCAUAAGAGGGGAUCUGUUGUUGGCUUGGGUAGGAUGAAUACAUGCUCGAUCCAGGAGGAGGAGGAGGCGGAGGAGGAGCAUAAGCAGCAUAAGGAGGAGGAGGAGGCGGUGGUGGUGGUCCCCAUGGAACUGGGGCAGUCAUAUAACUCCCAGGCGGUGGCGCAGUCAUCUGCUGAGAUGGAUACCCGCCAGGAUAAGUGGGCGCAGGAGGACCAGGGGGUACAGUAGGUUGGGGUGGCUUUCCUGCAACUCUUACUGCAAUUACUCUUCCAUCCAGACGAUAACCAUUCAUGCUAGCAAUGGCUUGAUUGGCCUGAGAUAUAUCAGAAUACUUGACAAAACCAUAACCUUUGCUCAGCCCAGUGACCCUGUCUUUAAUCACCUUUGCCAUUACUAUCUCCCCAAAUGGUGAAAACAACCGAAUCAGGGCAUCAUCUUCGAAAGUCGGAGGCAGGUACCCGAUAUACAGAUUGGUAUCAUCGAUUUCUUUACCAAUUCCAAGACCAAGACCAAAACCGACUCCUGGUUUUGCUACAUUGCUUCCUAGACCCGGAUGUGCAGAUGUUCCUGUACUACUGCUUCCUCCUCCGUUUGUGCUGGGUGCCCAUGGUGGAUUGCUCGUGGAAGAACCCAUGAUUGGCAAUGGUGUGCUUUGCUUGGUGACACCUUCUGGAAGGGUCCCGCCAAGUUCUGCCAAGAAAUUCUGAUACUCAUCAUCCAUUUUCUUUCCUGCAGUCCCUUUCACAGGGCAAUCAAUGGUUGGGUGUCCUCCGUCUCCACAGAUCUUACACAACACAUCGCUCUUAAAAGUUGACAUGCGGGAGGGGCAGGCAAAUUGACGAUGCCCAGGUUCACCACACAAUCUACAAUACUCGUCGUCUCUUAUUGUUCCAUUCAGAGCAGCAAGUUCACGCAGCUGCUGUCUUUUAUGUUCAUUCAAUCCUUCAUCAACAGGAUGCAAUAGCUUUUCCACCAUCCCUGCUGCAGCUUCAAGCCCUUCCUGUGUCUCUGCUUCCACUAAAACAUGUAAAUCUUCGUUUUCAGAAGGAUCAAACUUCAAAUCACGCUUUUGCCCAAACCUGCCUUCUUUCACUGAGCCUUUCCCCCGUAUAACGAUUUUAGCUCCAGUCUCCUUUUCCAUCCUCUUCUGCGUAUUACCUCUCGGCCCAAUUAUAAGUCCGAUAAAAUUAUAACCAGGGUAUUCUUUCAUUGGUAUAUACAGCUUCUUCUGAAGCUUCGGAGGCCUAUAAUCAGCAGGGGGCUUAAACGCAGGAUUUCUUUUAAUAAUCUGCGAAAUAAUCUCUUGUCUCUCUCUGUUAAGCCUUUCCCUCGCCCUAAAUUCUCUAGUGUUUAUUCUGGUUCCCAUAUUAUCAUAUAUCGGGUCCGGCGAAGGAGACCUAGCACCUUCCGGACGAUCAUCUAACUGUUGUCCAGACUGUAAAAUUCUACUAAUUUCCAUAAGCCUUGCAUUCAAAGCCUGAAUUUCAGGAUCCAUAUCCAUACCUCCAGUAAAAUCCUUCAUGAAAUCCGGCAACUGAAACACGGGUUUCGGCUCGUCGUCCGCCCAACGAGACUUCCUCUUUUUACCCCCAUUCUGAUCAGCAUCUCCAUCGGUAGGAGGCGGGUCCCAUCUGCUCCGCCUCCGUCUCCUGCUUGUUGUAUCCUCCUCCACGCCAGAGUUAUCCUUUUCCGUAGUAACACUCCUAACGCCGCCAUUAUCAGGCUUCGGAUCUGUUGUGUCUGGCUUGGGAUCCGUUUGACAUACGAUUUGAAGUUGAUGAGAAAAAUUGUGGUCGGAAUCGGACGGCGGGGGCGGGGGUGGAGGUGCUGAGCCAAAAUCAGGCGGCGGAUGCUGGUUACUGGAGUUCUUGGUGUAAUCCAACGCAUCAUAGGGAGUAGGAGUGGGAGCUAGGGUUUCGGGGGGAAGAGAAUCCAUGAGGUGGGGAUGGGAAGAAGUUCUGGUGUAUCGCGUGUGUGAGAGAGGCAGAGAAUCUAAUAUGUGUGUAUUUAUAUCAUACACAUAGAUAAAUGAGAAUGCAAAUUGUCUUGUUUUUCUUUUACUUUUUUUUUAAUAUUAAUAUUUCAAUUAGUAAUAACUAGGAAAGAUUCCCGCGUUGCGGGGUUGGAUACGUCAAAGGAAUGCACAAAACGGAAACAUUUCAGUUUGAAGUUCAUCAAAAUUCCAGCAGGUGAAAAGAAUAGUGUGUAACAUGUGAAGCUCUUCCAAACCCAAGGAUAAACCAAGACAUUCAAACAGAAUAUGAAAUAUGUUAUUGUAGCAAACCUCAAUAGAACAUGAAAAAGAUAUGUUGCCAACCACUACAUUUGAAGAUGAUGGAUCCAUUAUCUGACUCAUUUAAAAAUGAAUGCAAAGUGAAGUUACUGUCCUCAGAAUUAGUAAUUAGUAAGUAGAAGUCACAUAUUUUUUUUAUUUAUCUUGUCAUACAAAUAGACACACAACCACUAUUGUCAAACCCAUUUGUUCCUGUUGGCCCAAGUUCAUUCUAUGGAUUCACAUUGAUUCCAGGCAUUGUGCCACUCCCAGUUUCAGUUCCCAUUCCAAUUCCGGUUCCGGUCCCUGGAGUUCCGGUUCCGGUUCCAGUCCCAGUCCCUGGAGUUCCAGUUCCGGUUCCUGGUGUCGGGGUUCCAGUUCCGAUUCCGGUUCCGGGUGUUGGGGUUCCGGUUCCGGUUCCUGGGGUUGGGGCCCCGGUUCCAGUUGGCGGUGGUGUUGGAGUUGAAGUACUGCAAUGUUAAAAACCAAAGGAAAAUAAUGAAUAGCUUUCAACACCAUAAUCUUUAGUCAUUACAGACAAACCAUCUACUUUCAAGAAAUAGAAAAAAAAUACAAAUAAGCAUGCACUUUGAAAAAUUGAUCAACUUUGAACAAAAUCAUAUACGAUGGUUUAAAUCUUAAGAAUAUAUCUUAAGUCAACAGAAAGAAGCACUGAAGAAUAGCUUAUUUACCACUUAAAAUACGUAAAAUUAUAAUCCAAUUAAGAUGGAAAUAUCAUACCUAGGGUUCCCAGAAUAACAAACAGAAUCUGUGUAAAUCAUCAAAAAACACAUCACAAAUGAUAAUAGAGGGUAGGAUGGUAAAUUCAAAGGAAAGUCACCAGAAGGGGGUGUUUGGCUAACUAUAGUCGUGCCUGAGAAAUAACAGCUCCCUAGAACUUGACGUUUGUUUUCAUAAUAACCAUUAACAGCGAAAUUGCAAUGAUCCUAUGAUAGAAGAGACAAACCGAAACCGAUUAAGCAGCGAAAAUCUAGAAAUUAAAACAAAAAUUUAAUACGUAGGAAUAUAUAAGGAUGUUUGACUGAUAUUUGAGUUGAUUCUCUUUCAGAAAUCAAAAAACCCUAAUCGUGAAAGAUAGAAAUAUGAACGAAGGUACCAAAAUAUUAAAAUAAUUGAUUGAUUGAUUGUAAAAUUUAGCAUCAUGUACCCCGUAGAGAAAAUCGAAGAAGGGUUUUCAUCGGGUGACCACCACAUCUUCUUCUGGGUGCCUUCAAAAAUCCCCAAAUUUUCCUAAGGUCAUCGAUUGUCGCAAAACAGACAACAACAAUGUGGAAACUCAAUAUAGAGAAAAUAGACUCGAUCAAAAUAGUGGAGAUGGCAGCGGAUGGUGACGUUUUCACUUAUUCGAACGGUCGGCGGUGGCAUAUGAAAGAAAAUUCUUCGCGAUGGCGGUGAAGGCUUAGGCAGAAGUCGAAGAAGCGGUGGAUAAGAUGGAUUGGGAAGCUGACAGAUGGAUUGGUGGCGAUGGAAGCGGUCCCUUUUAGACGGCGGAGGAAAUUAGAGGGAUAGAUAGAGACCGGAGAUGAGAAAGUUGGUGGGGGAAAGUCAUGUAGUAUUGAAGCGGUGGAUCAUAAUCCAUAACAUGUUGGAUGAGACUGCUGAUUGUCACGAUAGUAAUGUAGGUGGGACGCGUAGCAAAUCCGGAUAAUCGGGAUGCCAUAACAUAACACGUAGCAAUUUUAUAUGACGGCUCUGACCAAAAUGAAACCCAGCAAAGAAUAUUUAAAAAAAAAAAAUUUAAAAAAACCCACCAAUCAGAUCCAAAAACUGUUCAUCUGGCACUUGUAAAUUAGUAUGUAUAUAUAAUUAUUUUAUUUAUAUUAUUAUAUGGGUUAGGUUAUAUGUUUUGUACCGAUAAUUUGGACGGUGUUUUUUAUAAGAAUGAUUAAGAGAAUAUAUAUAUUAUUUGAUAAUAUAAAUAUGUUCAAUCGUCAUAUAAUAUUUUCUAUUGUUGUCAUACAUUUUCGUUAAUUCUUGUUCUCACGCAUCAUUAUUCAUUCCUUUUUAUUCUUAUAAAAUACGAUUAUCAAAAACACACCCAAACAACAUUCUUUGAUGCAUUCCUUAGUUAUCAUUUUUCGUUUCAUGAUGGUUUAAAAGAAACACUAUCUUAUUCUUUCUUCCUUCAUCAUAAGCCAUAAUCAUUCAUCGAUCCCAUAAUUCAAAACGUGUCCACCAUUUUUGUUACCUUCGACCACCAAGUGUUGUUAUCAUCAUCGCCCCCUUCAACCACCAAAUCUAGGUUCUCUCUCUCUCUCUCUCUCUCUCUCUCUCUAUAUAUAUAUAUAUANNNNNNNNNNNNNNNNNNNNNNNNNNNNNNNNNNNNNNNNNNNNNNNNNNNNNNNNNNNNNNNNNNNNNNNNNNNNNNNNNNNNNNNNNNNNNNNNNNNNNNNNNNNNNNNNNNNNNNNNNNNNNNNNNNNNNNNNNNNNNNNNNNNCCACCAAAUGUUACAUGUUCAAGGUGAAUCAAUAUAUGUAAUCAUGAUUUUUAUGAUGUUUUUUUACAACCAUAUAUUUGUUCAUGUUUGAAGAAUAUGUUUUGGUUUUAGAGUUUCGAUUUUUAGUUCAUGUUUCAAAUGAACUGGCUUUUUUUUUUUUUAAGAAAUGUUUUGACAAUUUUAAAUUUUUCAUCUUAAUAUGUUUUCAUUUUGUAAUGCCCGUUUUUGUUAAUUACUUUUGAAAUUAGGUCAAUAAAUAGUCGAAUGAUUAUAUAGUUAAAAUUAAUUCCGAUAAUGUUUGGAAAAUGAAUUUAAAAUAACUUAAGAAAGAUAUUAUAUGAUCAUAAUGUAGGUGGUAAUUAACCAUACGGACAUUAUUAUUAUUAUUAUUAUUAUUAUUAAUUUAUUAUUAUUAUUAUUAUUAUUAUAAGGUCCGGGGGUAUUGUGUUGUUUUUGGAAACCUCUUAUGUAGAAAGAAAUCAAGUAAGGGUAUAUUUUGUCAAAAGACCACACAUUAGGGCCUUUCCUUUUUGAAUUAAAAAAAAAAUAGUCUAUUAAAUGUCAUUUUAUGUAUCUUUUUAUAUUAGUGUUUGUACCAUAUUUUACGUAUUUGUGUCUGCAUUAGUUUAAGUAAUGUUCACCUUAUGUUUAUCACUAGAAUUCUCGUGUUGAUCGUAUUUUUUAUGUCGUUUUUAGUUAUUUCAAGUGGUGUAGUAACUUGGAAGCAGCUUGAAUCGCGUUUUGGAGCUUAAUGGAGCUAAAGCAUCCAAGGAAACUAAAACCUGGGUUAAAUUUGCUGAAACUGAAGAGUUCGUGUCUGAAACGCGCAUUUACAAAUUUACACAAUUGUUUUUUUCAUUCUGCAAUCGUGUUUCAUGUUUGUAAUUUUUUUUUCGAGCCAAAAAUCAGUUUUUGAGACUUCAAAGGUUUACACGAUCAUGUUUCUCAAAAAGCACGAUCGUGUUUUUGGUAAAUAUGUAUGAAAUAACAACGUACUUCAUUAAACGCGAAAAUCGAGUAAUUUUUAGGAAGGGUGUGGCUCACCUAUUUAAAAGCGUGACACGCUUUGGUCGUGCUUUCUGGAAAUAUCGCGUCUGAUGUGUUGUCUUACAUACAAAAUACCCCCUAUUGUUUCCAGUUUCGAUUGAGACGAUCAAAAACCCUUUCCAGAUGUUAUUUGAGCGAUUUCUACACUUUUUCAUCGAUUCCUGAAGAUCUGAUGAUUGUGGAUAGACUGUCUUAGUUAGUUUAGUAAGAUUAGUUGUUUAGUCUUUCUUUUUAUUAGCUUUAGAUCAUUUUAGCCAUGUUCGGCAAAAAUGUAACACUCCAAAAAUUAUAAAAAAAUAUUUAAAAUCAACCAUUAAUCAUCAUUGUUUACAAAAAGAGUCAUUGUUUUAAAAUUAAAGUCAUAUCAGAGUGUCCCAAAAAUCCAUAUCAUGAAAAUAGGAAGAUGUGCACGAUCAGGCCUUCGCAUUCCCACGAUCCUCAGAAGUACCUGAAAAAAUAAACUAAAUUUAUAAGUCAUAACUUAGUGAAUUCCCCUAAAGUACCAACACACUACAUAACAAACAAAUCAUGCAAAUAUGAGCCUUCGGCCUAAAUGGACCGCCUCGCAGGGCUUACAACCUAUCUAGACCGCUCUUCGGGCCUUCGGUAUGACUGGACCGCCUCGCAGGGCCUACAGCCUAUCCGGAUCUCCCUGCGUGUCUUGGCCUUUAGCACAAAGCAGGAUUGCCUCAACCCAACCACAAUAUGUCGACAUAUGUAACAGAUAAACAUAAACACAAAUCUAGCAAAUACAAAUAAUAAUGCAGAUCUACUAAUCAGCCAUAUACUAGCAUAAUAUUAUCCUACAACCAGGAUACAUAACCUAGUGGGUCGACAUUAGCCUCUAAUAAAUAUCGAGAUAAGGGAAUUUCUUUGAGAAAGUAUAGGAGAAGCUUGAUGCUUCAGAUCCAACCCCAACUCAAACUUGUUUUUUGGCUAGCAAGAAAUAGGCACUUGUUCUUACUUAUCUAAACUCUAUUUUGGCUUGCUAUAAGAUUAGUACUAGUUCUUACCAUCAAUCUCUUUCCUAUCUAGAAUGGUGGGUACAUCAAUUUUUGUUGAUCACAUUCAUGGGGGAGGAGAAGCACUGAAGGCUCUAGUCCGGGGUUUCUUCUUCUUCGAUUCAAGCAAGUCGACCAUAAGGUGAAUCGAUGACCUGACUGAAGCCAUUCUUAGCCACGGUGCCUUCAGCCCACGAGUACAGUGAGAGAAACUCACCUCUUAGUCUGAAAAUAUAUAUAACAGAACACAGGUCCGACUGACAACUUAGUUGGCCACCUAAACACCAAAUACUGGCUGAUCUCAAAUACCACUCAAAUUACCUAAAAUACCCUUAGGGUAGACUUGGUCAAAGUCAACAAACCAAUUGAGUACGAUGGGCGUACUCAUAUGUAUGCGAGAAGUACUCCAGUUGACCCAUAAAUCGGGGCUUUAACAACGUACGCGCAACGUACCAUUUGGUACGCCCAACAUAUGCAACUAGUCAGCCCUUUCUCUUAUUAAGAGCUUCCUCUUACGUCCAAAACCAGAUCUGAGCCCCAAAUGUCAUCUUUGACCAUAAAGUUUCCAACUUUAUUGUCUUGCAUGGCCAAUAAGUGCUUAACAUUAAAAACCUUAACCACUUAACACAUUAAGACCUUGUAACUCAUGCAUGGAAGGGGAGAAAUGAUCAAGAAUACAUUUUUAUGCUUCUAAACACAUCAAAACGUCUUAAAGGACAACUUAAAUGGAUUGGAGUCGCUCAUACUUAAAAUACCAAACUAAUGGGACCAAAAGGACACAAACUUCAUGGCUAACUUAGAUCUAUGCAUAACUUCAUCAAGUUCAAAGCUUUUUACCUCCAAAUUAUGCCAAAUGGUGAUGAUAUUUUGGAUCCAAAGAGUCCUACUCCUCCAAUAUGAUCUUCUAUUCUUACUCUCUCAUUCAAAGUAGCCCAAAGACACACACAAAGCUCAAGAGUGCUAAAAAAUGAUGGGUUUGAGCCAUAAGAACUUUCCUAUGUGCACAUGCAAACCCUAAUGUUUGGAUCUAGGUUUCUCUAAUUGAACAUGCAAUGUAUCCAAGACUUUUAUUUAUAAAUCUAGUAUAAACAUUCAAAUCAUAACAUAUGAAAUCAGAUCUAAAGGAAUACCUUGAGUUGCUUGCUUGAAUCUUCUUGUCUUUGGAGCUUAGAGUCACAAUUGUCACUCCUCUAAUGGCUUACAAACACCAACUAGCAAGAGGAUGAUAAUAGAGAGAGAGGAGGGUGAGAAAAUCAGCCUUAGGGUUUCUUGUCUUGCAUGAGUGCCGAUUUCCUCCACCCAAUGGGUCUAUAUAUACUAUGAGCUACUAAGGUUACACCUUAAACCCUAAUUGAAUAACUUAGGCCCUAAGCAAUCCAAUGAUCCCUAUAGACUAGGCCUUGGACGAUUUCUAGGUUUCUCCAAACCCUAAAAUCGUCCACCCUCACAUCCAUAAAGAUUCAUAGCCCAAAAUACAACUAUCACACAUUUGACAGUUUAUGCCCCUUUAUUCAAUUAACCUCUUUAAGUCACCAAAUUAAUUCCUAAUUAAUUUAUGACUUAUAUUAAUCAAAUAACAAUAUUAUUAUUCCUUAUAUUAUUCUCAUAAUAUAUUAAUAAUAUUUCUUCUCUCAUUAUAAAUCAUCCUGUCAAGUUGCUAUGGUGAAGGCAACCCAAAAGGACCAUGCUCAACCGGGUCAAAUACUUGCCAAAUAUAGUUACAGCCUUAGACACUAUUCCAACAGUCUCCCACUUGGAUAAGUCCAGUAACUAUAUACACAAGCACAAUCCGAUUAGCAAUCGUAGCUCUCAAAGACGCUGUCAAACUCUGAUCUUAUCAGUCCUGUCCUUUAGAUAAGGGAUCGUACAGUCCUCUGUUCAGAUAUCAUGCGGACACAAUCAUAGUCCAGCGUUUAGUUUCUCGAUCUCAGAUUUAUUCGACAUAGAACUUAAUCGAACACAUCAAUUUAGUUCUGACCGGGCCCGACACAUAAGUCAAAUCAAAUCAUCGAGCGGCCGAGAUAUCGCUUUUACCCUCUUAGGAUAAAAGUAACAGAUAAACUUCGACUUAUAUGCAUUUACUUAUUCGCCAAUCAAUCAUACACAACAAUGCGUUUUAUAACAUCAAUUUACUGAUGCGGUUUCGCAUCAUCAAUGUACAACCAAUUAACAAAUAACAAACCAUAUAUCUAGGUUUUAAGACCAUAUGAUAUUAUCAUCUUGCGAUCACUUAUAUAUACCUUAACGUGAUUCCAGCAAAUGUGGGUUUGUUCCAAUGCUCAAAACUAGUUCAUAAGCACUCAUGAACGUUGCAGCAAACCUUUUCUAUGUCUAAUAUCAUUUAGACAAUCUACAUACCAAUUCAUGACAAUCUUCUUUAAUAUCUACUUCCAACAUAUGAACGAUUGGGGACCAUUCGAAUAAUUCAAUUAUUCUUAAUAACUCAAUUAUUCAGGAAGUCAAAACAUGCAAAGUGAAACAAUAGUUAAACAAUUAACAUAAGACAGUAACUUUACUUAUAAAUAAUACUCCUUUAUUUAAUCAUCAAAUGUCAAUUACAUUUAUCUAUUACAAGUUUCUAAAACUAUCUAAUCUAAACUAAUAUCAUCCUUCAGCCCACUACUCCUAGCAUGCUGCAAGUGCUUAACCUACUCAGUCCCUUUCGUAAGCGGAUCUGGUUAUCUUCUGAUGAUAUCCUCUUAACCACGAGAUGUCCUUCUUCUACUCAAUGUCUAAUAAAGUGAUAUUUUCUGUCGAUGUGACGAGAUCUACCAUGAUCCCUCGGCUCCUUGGUCAAGGCAAUCGCUCCUUCAUUAUCACAAAAAAUUUCCACAGGCUCCUUUAUGGCAGGUACAACUCCAAGAUCACCAAUGAAGUUCUUCAACCAUAUUGCCUCCUUCGAUGCUUCACUUGCUGCAAUGUACUCUGAUUCGCACAUUGAAUCGGCUACAAUUUCCUGCUUGGAACUUUUCCAAGUUACUUCUCCUCCAUUCAAGGUAAAGACCUAGCCCGACUGCGAACGAUAGUUGUCCCUGUCGGUCUGAAAGCUGGCGUCACUAUACCCUCGCACCUUCAAGUCAUCACUCCCUCCGAGGACUAAGAACCAUUCCUUCGUCCUCCGAAGGUACUUAAGGAUAUUCUUGACCGCAAUCCAAUGGGCUCUGCCAGGGUUCCCUUGAUAUCUACUGACCAUGCUCAAAGCAAAGGCUACAUCAGGGCNAGCCAACUGCGGAAGCGUAAGGUACUCGGCUCAUCUCUGCUAUCUCGACUUCGAUACUCAGACAUUGUGUCUUACUCAACUUGGUAUUACUUUGUAUCGGUAAUUCUCCCUUCUUCGAAUUUUCCAUACUAAAACGUUUCAGUACUUUAUCUAAGUAAAUGUUCUGACUAAGUCCUAUUAGUCUCCUUCGCAACUGGUGAGAAGGUCUCAUCAUAGUCAACUCCGGGAGUUUGAGUAAAGCCAUUCGCAACCAAUUGCUCCUUAUAUGUGUAUACAUUCCCAUCCACGUCGGUCUUCUUCUUGAAGAUCCAUUUGCUCCCAACGGUCUUACGUCCGGGCACAUUAUCAACCAAAUUCCAAACUUGGUUGUCAUACAUGGAUUGGAUCUCGCUAUCCAUUGCCUCUUUCCAUUUUGCAGACUCCGGGCCUGCCAUGGCUUCCUUAUAGCUAUUAGGUUCAUCUAGAUUUAUUAGUGUACCAUCACUAAUAUACGUGUCCCCUUCGGUAGUAAUAUGAAAACCAUAAAACUGGGGUUGAACUCUAACUCUUUCGGAACGUCUAAGAGGUAAGGACUCGUCAAUUGGUUCAACCGGAGUUUCCUCCUCGGGUUGAGCGUCAGCGGUAGAGGUUCCUUCAUCACUCGAUUCUCGAAUCUCUUCAAGUUUGAUAUGCCUCCCGCUGUCUCCUUCGCUUAUGAGUUCUCGCUCUCGGAAAACCCCUCUCCUCGCAACGAAUACAACAUUGUCAUUCGGUCUAUAGAAGAGAUAUCCAAACGAUUUCUGCGGGUAAACGAUGAAAAUACAUCGCUCACUACGAGGUUCGAGCUUGUCGUGAGUAUCUCGUCUUACGAAAGCCUCGCAAUCCCAAACCUUGAUAUGUGCUAACGAGGGAGCUUUCCCUGUCCACAUCUCGUGAGGUGUUUUGGCAACCUUCUUAGUAGGGACUCGGUUAAGGAUAUGGGCGGCAGUCUCUAAGGCAUACCCCCAGAAUGAGAUAGGUAGUGAAGCACGACUCAUCAUAGAACGAACCAUGUCUAACAAGGUUCGAUUACGCCUUUCUGCUACACCAUUCAACUGCGGUGUCCCAGGUGGCGUUAAUUGAGAAACUAUUCUGCAUUCUUUGAGAUAGUCGUGGAAUUCAAGACUUAGGUACUCUCCUCCUCGAUCGGAUCGAAGCAUCUUGAUUUCCCUGCCCAAUUGAUUCUCCACUUCAUGUUUGAAUUCUUUGAAAUUUUCAAACAUUUCUGACUUGUGCUUGAUUAAGUAAAUAUACCCAUAUCUACUAUAAUCAUCGGUGAAAGUCACAUAGAAGCGGUUCGUGUAACGCCCGCAAAUCCGGGCUAGUUAAAUUAGAGGCAAUAAGGGUCGAAAACGACUUUUCGAGAAAAGAGUAUUUAGAAAUAAAUAAUCUUAACCAAGUUGUAGGAUAUGUCACAAGGUUUCCGUACAUAUAAAGAACGCCGAAAUCCGAGUUAUAACGAAGAAGUUAUUACCCGUCGAAGUUUCGCAUCGGAACCGGCAUGACACCAGGAAGCGUAAAUAGUGAAUUUACGAUAGAGCGAGAUUUAGCCUUAGCGAUAUAAACAAAAGUUGUAUAAUACGUUAAACUAAGAACAUCGAUAAAAAGAACGCCCAAAUCUGACUUCGUAUGAAGAAGUUAUGAUUUUUCGAAGUUUCGGAUUAGCAGUGUACAGCCCGAAAUUCGAAUAUUAGAUCGAACGGUUUUUAGCCGACACGACCUGAACGAGAACCGAUGACCUCGUUAAGAGUAGCGUAACGAGAAAAAGAUGGGCGAAAAUGGACGUCGGAUGAAGAAGUUAUGAGGAUUUAACGGACCAAUCCUGUCUCGGCCUGUUAAUAAUAUAAAAUUUAAAAUCGAGUCAAAGUUAGCCGACGAAGUCUAAACGAAAGUUGUAAAGUACGUUCCCACCUUCGCGUGGAUAUAAAGAAAGUAAAAAAUGGUGCUAGUAUGCGAAAGUUAUAAUUUUUAGAAGUCGAGAGUGAAAUUUGCGAAGUCUGUUGCUAAAUCGAUGACGUGGCAUGAUCUGGACCGUUGCUUGCUGAUCACGCCUCGCAUCCGAUGAUCGCCACGAAGUCUCGCUACGCCCCGCGUCCGAAGCUGGGUACGCCCAGCGUAUUUGAUCUGGUCCGGGUCUGAGAAUGGGUGCGAGCCAGCUGGUGCGAAGCUGGCAUCCUUAUCCGAGGAGUACGCGCCGCGUAGCCAAGGAUUACGCCUAGCGUAGUCCGAGGCCUCGCAGCUAUAAAAGGGGGGCGAGGGUAUCCGGAUUUUUCACACAUAUUCACACCAUAUCCUUUCUCUCUCUAAGAUACUUUCUCUUUCUAGCUCCCAAACCACCCCUAAGCCCUAGAUAAAAUCCCUAGCUCCCGAGGGAAGCCCCGAGGCUCCCGGAGUCCCGAGAAAAAGAGCCUUUUGGUUUCGAAACGCUGCUCCAAUUAAGUUCCGGUUUUCGAUAAAAUUCGCUGUAAGUGUGCUACGCUUACGCAAUUUUUUAUAUAGCUUUCAAAUAAUUAUAGGAAUGUUAUUAGGUCCUUAAAAUAAUUAUUUGGGCUAUUAUUAUGAGUUAUAUUGAGUGUUAUUAACGCUUAUAUAAUAAUAAUAAUAGUCAGACUAAUUAAUUUGUCGCGGUUAUCGUUAGACUAAACCCUAGUGGUAUUGGUACUAGGUUUUAUCGAAGGAAAAUCGUUUUGAGAGUAUCGAAGCGCUGUUCGAGUGCUGAGUCACCACCUUUCAGGUGAGUGCAUAGUCACUUUCAGCUUACACAUAGAUAUGAAGUAUUUUAUAUAAAUUACGUGUUGUGUGUGUAUAUUAUUUGUAUACUUGCUAUCUAUGCUAGAUGAACGUUUUAGACAUGUUUUCAAUGAUUUAAACUGUAUAUGUAUUUUAUAUCUACAAAAUGUGUUGGGUAAAACAUGGGUAUAUGUAAUAGUUGUUGUGUGACAAAAUAAAAUAAUGAGAGACCUUGUUAUAGAUGUUCUUGAUGAUCUAGUCAUCUAGCGGAGUAUACAUGACGACCACGGACUAUUCUAGACAGUCCAGUGGAACACUAGCAGGCUCGCAACCUGUAGGUGUUUAUUCGAACUGUGUGUUUAUUCGAACUGUGUGAACUGUGUGCUCACCAGGUAUACUCCAUCCCAAUGAUAGUCCUUUGACUAGGUCCCUUGUGUUAGAUGUUUUAGGGACGUAAUGUGAGGAUAACGGGAAUGGGUAAUUGGGUUGAUUGUUUGAUGUUUAAAAAUAAUAAUUAUAUUAUUGUGGGUUGAAAACCCUAUGUGCUCACCAGGUUUCCCAACCUGACCCACUCAGUUUAUUUAUAUCACAGGUGUUGAUAUGAAGUGACAUUACACUGAGAGAUUUAAAGAGAUGUAGAUCACUAGUGUAAAUAAUUGUAAGUUCUGUUUAUGCUUAUGUUUCUGUAUUAACGAUGACAUCCCAAACGUUUUAAAAUGAAAUAAAUACGUUUCUUCGAAAAUGUUUUAAUAACGUAUUUACCAUGUUUUUCUGGGAACAAAUUCCGCAACAUUUUUAUAAAAUGAAGUACUCUGAUUUUUAUAAAGCAUAAACAACAUCGGUCUUUUCUGGCCGUGAAAAUGGGGAUGUCACAGUUGGUAUCAGAGCAUUAGUUUAAGCGAACUAGGAAUAUGGAUUUAUUUCUAGACUUAAACUUAGAAUGCUAAGCGAUGAUUGUGAGGUGUGAGCACUAGCUUAUUUUAGGAAUUGUGCCUAAAAUGCUUUUAUGUGCUAAAUGCUUGUGCCUGAUAUGCUGUUAUUUGUUCGGAUCUAUGGUUUGUUGCCGACCGGAUCUGGAAACCUUAUGUGUUUAGGAUUCUAAGCGUUUAACUACGAUAUUAGAACUAGCAUAUAAACGUUUCGGAGUGAUAAGAAUGAUUUAAACGUCAAUCCUAAGUAAAGGUCUAGAUUCACCUUAUUCGGCGUAUAGAUCAAGAUGGCAAGAACCCGUAGCGGAAACGUGAAUGCAAAUGGGAACCGAGAUCAACCCCCAGCGAUUGAGCAAAUACCGGUUGUGGUAGCCGCUGCUGAGCCAAUAACGAUGGCAGGAGUGCAAGCGAUGAUCCAAGCAAUGUUGGAUCGUCAAAUGGAGGAAACCAGACGUUUGCUCCAGCAAAAUCGAGAGGAAGCGACUAUUCAGAUCGAACAGCCCAAGUUGAACGAAGGGCAGACUGAGGAAGGAAACUACAGUGGGACUGUUGGUCAAGUCAACCCACCAAUAGUUCGACAAAACAACCAAGAUGACGAAGUCGAGAGGAAUGGAUGCAAGUACAAGGAUUUUCUGACUUGCAAGCCAUCGACUUUCACUGGAAAGGANGUGGAUCUUUGACGGAGCCUUCCUCUUUUUGCCCCUUCCCUGCCCUAUAGCCAAAACAGGAGCAGCGGGUGGAUUGGGAGUUUAUGCAACAGACUUGUCCUUAAGGUUGCUCUCAGCAACCCUUAGGAGCCCUUGGAUCUUGCUUAGGGUGACCUCUUCCUUGUUCAUGUGGCAGGUCAUCCUAAAUUGGUUGUAACACGGAGGCAAGGAGUGAAGGACCAUGUUGAUAGCCAAGUCUUCCCCAAAGUCGACAUUCAACUUGCGAAGACGAUCGACAUACCUUUGCAUCUUUUGCAAGUGUACGGUUAGAGAUUCUCCAUUUCCCAUUUUAGUAGUGAUAAUGUUAGUGAAGAUCUCGUAACGUUCCUGCCUUGCUUUUUAGUGUUAUCUCUCCAAUAAGUCUUGAUGCAUCUCGUACGGAUACAUGUCCUCAUAGGACUUUUGAAAUUCGGCGUUCAUUGUGGCUAUCAUGAUGCAAUGAACUUUCGUUGCAUCACCCUCAUGAGUCUCAAAGACAGUCAUUUCAACCGAAGUAGCGAUUUCUGGAUUGACUUUUUCAAGCUUCUUGUCAAGGACAUACUCCUUGCCCUCGUAGCGAGCAAUCAUGCGAAUGUAUCUUAUCCAUUCGCUAAAGUUUGUUCCAUCGAAAGUCACUUUUUGGCAAAGGCUCAUUAACGUGAAUGAGCUAGCAGAAGCAUUGUUUGCGUUCGACAUCUACAAAUAGAAAAGGACAAAGUUUGAUUAGAAUUGAAUCCCUAAUUAUCACCCAAUAUGAAAAAUUAGGGCUAGGAUCCAACAACAUUAUUUACACAUUAGAAAAAGGGAUGUCGUAAUCCAACGUGCAAACAAUUUGAAGGUAAGUGAAUGACGAUUCACUAAUUCUCCACCAUGAAAACAUAACCUUAAGUUUUAAAUGCAUUUAGAAUUCCUAGAUUUCGAUGAGAUUCAUUGAACUUUUCAAUGACAUGUUUAAAUCUCGAUAUGCCCCUCUCGUUUGUGACUGGGAUGCCGAGGAUCACAAAGUGGGUGUGAAUAACCAUGCAAAUCUACACUGUGCCUUCAUUGUUACUAUCACCUAUUCGAUGUGCCGGUAAACCACACACGCUCCACUGAACUAUGAUAAACAAUGAAUCACCCUUUGCCACCUUUGCUUAGAACCAAUUAGUGUGCCGGUAAACCACACACGCUCCACUAACUUCUUAGCAAGGGUGCAAAGUGUAAUUUCAUGGGUUUGCAUCAAUUCACUUUUUCCUAAAGUAUCUAGGAUUGGGAAUUUGAAAAACAUGUAGUUACUUUGUAUUUUAACAUUAUACUUUUAAUGAGGAGAUAGGGUUGCCCUAUCCUACCCGUUCGGCUAACGACCCUCCACCGGUCAAGCAAGCGGUGGGUGUGAGUGUACACCCAUUAAGCGCCAUUUUAUAGGCAGCAACCUUAUACCCACCUUAUAGACCGGCUUCGUGAAUGAGGCCUACUAACNNNNNNNNNNNNNNNNNNNNNNNNNNNNNNNNNNNNNNNNNNNNNNNNNNNNNNNNNNNNNNNNNNNNNNNNNNNNNNNNNNNNNNNNNNNNNNNNNNNNNNNNNNNNNNNNNAGUUUUAAACUUUUCAAAACAUAAGGGAUCAAAUAACAAAUAAUUUAAAUUAACCAUUUAAUCUCAUAAUUAUCCAUAUUUGAUUUAUUUAAAUGUUUCUUGCAAAACAAUUCACCAAUUUAAUUAAAAUAAUCAAUUAAUAUCAUAUAAGGAAAUUAUUAUUCAACUAAUUGGUAAAUAUCUUUUGUUAGGUCAAGAAUAUACUCACAUAUAUGUUAAAAUUCGAAUUUUAUUGACCCAUAAAGAUUAAGGCAAGUUUCCAUAAGAAAAACAGCAAGAAAUCCCGAAACUAGCUCCAUCUGACGCUCGAACUCGCCGAGUACCACAAUGGACUCGCCGAGUUGAGGCCUACUCGCCGAGUCCACUAUGGAACUCGCCGAGUUCAUCAGGCAGAUGGACAAAAAUCGAAUUUUGCAAUCAACAAGCAAUCAACCAAUGCAUCAAUUCAAUAGAAACCAAUCAAGGCUCUGAUACCACUGAUGGGUUUGAGCCAUAAGAACUUUCCUAUGUGCACAUGCAAACCCUAAUGCUUGGAUCUAGGUUUCUCUAAUUGAACAUGCAAUGUAUCCAAGACUUUUAUUUAUAGAUCUAGUAUAAAUAUUCAAAUUAUAACAUAUGAAAUCAGAUCUAAAGGAAUACCUUGAGUUGCUUGCUUGAAUCUUCUUGUCUUUGGAGCUUAGAGUCACAAUUGUCACUCCUCUAAUGGCUUACAAACACCAACUAGCAAGAGGAUGAUAAUAGAGAGAGAGGAGGGUGAGAAAAUCGGCCCUAGGGUUUCUUGUCUUGCAUGAGUGCCGAUUUCCUCCACCCAAUGGGUCUAUAUAUACUAUAAGCUACUAGGGUUACACCUUAAACCCUAAUUGAAUAACUUAGGCCCUAAGCAAUCCAAUGAUCCCUAUAGACUAGGCCUUGGACGAUUUCUAGGUUUCUCCAAACCCUAAAAUCGUCCACCCUCACAUCCAUAAAGAUUCAUAGCCCAAAAUACAACUAUCACACAUUUGACAGUUUAUGCCCCUUUAUUCAAUUAACCUCUUUAAGUCACCAAAUUAAUUCCUAAUUAAUUUAUGACUUAUAUUAAUCAAAUAACAAUAUUAUUAUUCCUUAUAUUAUUCUCAUAAUAUAUUAAUAAUAUUUCUUCUCUCAUUAUAAGUCAUCCUGUCAAGUUGCUAUGGUGAAGGCAACCCAAAAGGACCAUGUUCAACCGGGUCAAAUACUUGCCAAAUAUAGUUACAACGUUAGACACUAUUCCAAUAAAAAGUAUAUUAGGGUUUGUUUGGGGACGCAGGUGGGUUGGAGGCUAGUGAAAGAAGCUAGGUUGGGGACUUAAGGAUAUUUAAAUAGGGUUCAAACCCUAAAAUUAGGGUUUGGGAAUCAUGCACGUAUGUGCUGCUUAUGCUAGGUACGCCCAACGUAUGUGACCUCGGGCCAAAUAUUACAAAAAUGCCACUAUGGGCCAUUUUGCAACAUUUAUCAAACACAAGGUCUAAAUACAAUAAAUCUUCAUACUUAGGGUUUAAUUUGGAAAUAAAUCAUCAUCAGGAUGUUACAUAAAGCCCAUAGUUUUCAGUCCUAUAAAGACUUCAACUUAUUAUGUAAGUAAUAAUUAGCUUUGGUUUUUUACUUUGUGAUUCUAUUUAGUGGUUUCAGUUGUAUGCAUAAUGAAUGUUAUUUUUAAUUAUUUUUAGCUUGAUCAUUUAAUUUAGAUUUAAAUUAGGUCUAGUUAAUCGGCUGUAAAAAUCUGUAGUUUUUUAAUCAAUUGGUAACAAGUAAUAAGUAACAGAUCGGUUCCACGGUGGGAUUUGAUUAUGUUAUAAACUGAAAAUCACAUAUUUUUAUGCUACCGAACUGAUGAGAAGUAUUGAGUAUUGCUAAGAAUUUUACAUUGUUCAUAAUGUUUCUUUUUUUGACUCUAUUAAAGGUUUGUUUCAUUAGGUUAGUAAAAAGUUAGGAUUAACUGAAGAGUUUGAUUUGGUUAAUUAACUAUGUAAAAGAUAACUUACUAGAGCUUUUUAGUGGUUUUCAUUGUCAUCUUAGAUAAAAUGCAUUUUAAAUAACCAAAUAUGGAUUGAUUGCAUAAUUAGGAGAGUCACAACACAACUGAAAUACCUUUUUAUUAUUGAAUUUUAUUUAUUUUAUUUCAUUGUUACUUUUAUAUUUAAUUCUAAUNNNNNNNNNNNNNNNNNNNNNNNNNNNNNNNNNNNNNNNNNNNNNNNNNNNNNNNNUGUGUCUUACAUAAAGAGGAAUUGACUAUUAGGUUGUACAUUUAUGACGCAUUUAACAUGGUCCCAUGUUGUCUCCUUAUUUGCAACAAGUGCACAGGAGAACCUCUUCCCAUCUUUACCUUUUUAGCUUUGAUAUUUCCCCUCAAAACACAACAAAAACCUUAGACUAGUGUAACGACCCAAAAGUCAAGGGUAAAAAUUUCAUUUUUCAUUAUUGUCAAAUGCAAAUGUCACUCCAUCCAAUCAUUCAAAACAUUACAUAAAUUAAAAUGUUUAUCAGAGUUACAUCCCAAAAUCACAUAAAGCGGAAAACACGGGUGUGUGUGUUGCGAUCAAGUUGGCAUUUCCUUUCCAAACCGAUGAUACCUGAAACAAUAAACAAAAUUGUAAGUACGAAGCUUAGUGAGUUCCCCAUAACAUGUUGGAUUAGUGUCUAAGUCCAUAACUAUUUUGGUAUGUACUUGACCCGAUGGUGCAUGAACCUUUUGGGUUGCCGUCACCAAAGCAACUUGAUAGGAUGAAUUAUGGAGAGAGAGGAUUAAUUAUGAUUUAUUAAUAUAUUAUCCUCCUUAAUAAAUGAAGGUUUUUUUUGCCACAUGUCAAUCUCUUAUUAGUUUUGACAUUUGUCAUUUUGUGGUAUUUUUGAAAUAAAUAUUAUCCACUUGUCAAUUUUUGAUUUGUUUCAAUUUAAUUUUAAAAUUAAAGUCAUCUACUUAUAUAUGUAAAGUAUUAUAUAUAUAUAUAUAUAUAUAUAUAUAUAUAUAUAUAUAUAUUAAAUUGCAAUAAAUACGUUUAUUUUUUUCUUAUUUUAAAGUUGUAUAUUAAAAAAUAUUUUUUGUUUACACUUUAAUGUUUAAUUUUUUUUAAAUCAACUCGUGUAAUAUACGNNNNNNNNNNNNNNNNNNNNNNNNNNNNNNNNNNNNNNNNNNNNNNNNNNNNNNNNNNNNNNNNNNNNNNNNNNNNNNNNNNNNNNNNNNNNNNNNNNNNNNNNNNNNNNNNNNNNNNNNNNNNNNNNNNNNNNNNNNNNNNNNNNNNNNNNNNNNNNNNNNNNNNNNNNNNNNNNNNNNNNNNNNNNNNNNNNNNNNNNNNNNNNNNNNNNNNNNNNNNNNNNNNNNNNNNNNNNNNNNNNNNNNNNNNNNNNNNNNNNNNNNNNNNNNNNNNNNNNNNNNNNNNNNNNNNNNNNNNNNNNNNNNNNNNNNNNNNNNNNNNNNNNNNNNNNNNNNNNNNNNNNNNNNNNNNNNNNNNNNNNNNNNNNNNNNNNNNNNNNNNNNNNNNNNNNNNNNNNNNNNNNNNNNNNNNNNNNNNNNNNNNNNNNNNNNNNNNNNNNNNNNNNNNNNNNNNNNNNNNNNNNNNNNNNNNNNNNNNNNNNNNNNNNNNNNNNNNNNNNNNNNNNNNNNNNNNNNNNNNNNNNNNNNNNNNNNNNNNNNNNNNNNNNNNNNNNNNNNNNNNNNNNNNNNNNNNNNNNNNNNNNNNNNNNNNNNNNNNNNNNNNNNNNNNNNNNNNNNNNNNNNNNNNNNNNNNNNNNNNNNNNNNNNNNNNNNNNNNNNNNNNNNNNNNNNNNNNNNNNNNNNNNNNNNNNNNNNNAUAUUAGACAUUUUAAUUAAUGUGUUGCCACUUGUCAAUCUAUUAGUUUUCCAUUUUAAAUUUAUUAGACCUCCUCAUUAAUGUGAUUCUAUUUUAAAUUUUAAUUUUUAAAUUAUUGUUUUCAUUAAUUCACAAAUAAAAAAUAUCUAAUAUAUAUUAAAAAUUAAUUUAAUAUAUUUAUUUGAAUCAAUGAUUAUAAUUUCACAUAACUAAUAAAAAAUAUCUCUUAAGUUAAUAAUUUAUUUAAAAUAACUUAUUAAUAACUUUGAGUUUGUACUAUAAAAGUUUGAUUAAUUUUAUAACCGUGGUUCCCACGGGUUAUAAACUAGUGAGAAUAAUAUAUUAAAGGAGAAAUCAUAUUGUUUAAUUAAUAUUAGUCAACAAUUAAUUAAUAAUUAAUUUUGUUGCUAAAGGAUAUUAAUUAAAUAAAGGGGACUGGAACUGUCAAUUGUGUGAUAGUUGGAUAUUAUUAUUGGGCUAAUUGACUUCAUAGAGGAUGGAGUGGACGAAUUCUAUGGGGAAACCCAUUAGAAAUCGUCCAAGGCCUCUAAGGAGGGGGUCCAUGGGCUGCUUAGGGCCUAAGCAGUCAAAUUAGGGUUUCCUUGUUAGAUAACCCUAAUAGCCUCACAUAUUUAAGGACCCCUAGGGCACCAAAAACGUGGCUAAGAGUUUCCUUAUGGUUCUAGACGGUUUUUGGGUGCUUUUCCUCUUCUCAUUCUUCAUCCUCUUGCUCUUGGUGUUUGUGAGCCAUUAGAGGAGUGACACUUGUGACUCUAAGCUUUCAGAAGCCAAUUACAAGGAAGAUUUGAGAUUGUUAUUGCUACAUAACAAUCAAGGUAAGAUCUAAACCCUUUUUCUUAUGUUAAUAUCGAUUAUCACACGCUAGAUCUAGGGUUUAAAGUCUUGGAUGAAUGCAUGUACAAUAGAGAAACCUAGAUCCAAGCAUUAGGGUUUGCAUGAGCAUAUAGGAUGUUCUUAUGGCUAAAACCCAUCAGUGGUAUCAGCACCAGGUUGGUUUCUAUUGUAUUGAUGCUUUGUGUUUCAUUCAUGCUUAGAAAAUCGAUUUUUUGCUCCUCUGACUGACAAACUUGUCGAGUCCCAAAGUGAACUCGUCGAGUAGGAUGAACUCGGCGAGUUAUGCUGUCAAAAAGAGGGAUUCUCAGGAUUUCCUAUCUAUUUUGCUGUGGGAUAAUUUCCAAAUUGUUUUUUAUUGAUAAAAUUAUGAAUUUUAUUGAUAUUGGAUGAUUAUCCUUUCCAAAAUAAGAGAUCAUUUCAAAUUAGUCAAAUGUUUACUUCCUUAUAUGAUAAAUGUUGAUUUUUUGGAUUAUUUGAUCAUUAUCUUUCAUAAAAUUGAAUUAGGUCAUAAUUAGAUAAUCACCAAUUAAUUGUUUAAUUGCCUUAUUUGUGUUUUGAUCUAAUAGUUUUGAAAUAUUUCAAAAUUUGCCCUCAAGUUUUGGAAUUUAAAUUUUAAUUAAAAGUUUAAUUUUAAAAUGUUAAAUUCUAAAAACCUAAUUUUUGAAAAAGUUCAAAUUACACCCUUAUGGUUUUAUUAAAUUAAUUAAGUGUAUAAUUAAAAGAGAGUUAAUAAAUCCAUAGUGAUAUGGUUUACAUUUAAUUAAAUUAAAAGUGUAAUUUAUUAAAUUAGACCACCUAGUGUUUCAAAAGUGUAAAAUACACCCUUAUACUAUAUAUAACAUUAAAAGUCUAAUAUUAUAUAUGUAUAACUUAAACAGCUAGUCUUACCGUUAGUAGGCCUCAUUCACGAAGUCGAUCUAUAAGGGGGGGUAUAAGGUUAUGGCCUAUAAAAUGGUCGUUUAAUGGGUGUCCAAUCUCACCCACCGCUUCCUUGAUUGGUGGAGGGUCGUUAGCCAAACGGGUAGGAUAGGGCAAACCCUUUCCAUUAAAAGUAUAAUGAAGUAUAAAGUAACUAAAUGUUUUUUUACAAAAUUCCCAAUCUUAGUUACUUUAGGCAAAAGUGGAAUUGAUGCAAUCCCAUGAAAUUACACUUUGUACCCUUGUGAAGACGCUAGUGGAGCGUGUGUGCUUAACCGGCAUACUAAAUGGUUCUAAGCAAACGUAGCAAAGGGUGACUCAAUGUUUGUUAUAGUUCGGUGGAGCGUGUGUGGUUAACCGACACAUCGAAUAGGUGACUGUAACAUUAGGGGUGAUGGGUUUUGAGCAUUCUAACACUUCCUAAGUGUACAUGCAACCCUAAUAACCUUGGAUCUAUGUUUGUCUAAUUAUCAUGCAAAGUUGAUUUCCAAGGCUAUGAUCCUAUCUAGCAUACAUGGGGAACAAUAUUAACUUGAAUAAUAGAUAGAACUACAUACCUUGUUGUUGUAAGUGUUCCUUGAAACCUUGUGAGCCUAGCACCUCAAGUGUGAUGCCUCAAAUGCUUCACACAACACCAAAUGCAAAGAAUAAACUUGAGAGAAUACUCUAACACAUGCAAAAUCGGCCAAGCCCUCUUGUUUCUUAGUGUCACCGAUUUUGGGGAGUGUUACAUUGCUUAUAUAGUGUGUGACAUUAGAUAAACCCUAAUGUUCCAUGAAUCUUCAUUUCUUGAUCCAUGGGUUAACUCCAUGGAGCAUCCUAUGGGUGAAACCCAACUUGACAAUCCAUGGAGCCUCUUUUGAUCACUUAAUUAAUUCUAAAUUAAUUCUUGAUCAAAACUAAUUAAAUAAUAUUAUUAAUAUAUUAGAACUUAUAAUAUAUUAAUAAACCAUAUGUGUUAUUUCUCUCAUUUAGUUUAUUCAAUUGCAUGGUGCCAUGCAACCCAAAUGGACCAUGCCGGGUCGGGUCAAGUACAAGCCCGAAAUAGUUAUGGACUUAGACACCUUAUCCAACAGUCUCCCACUUGGAUAAGUCUAAUAACUAUAUCUCUAGUACUUCAGGAACCGACCGGCAAUCGUAGCUCUUUCAAGGUCUCUCGGAACUGAGAAGAUGAUGGUACGCCAUUUAAGAUAAGUGAUCAUAUAAUCCUCCGUUCUAGAUAUCAGCCGGACAAAUACAUGGAACAUUGUCUUGCUUAUUGUCCAGCAUUUGUUUCCCGAUUUCCGAUUUGUUUGACAUAGAACUUAAUUGAACACAUCAACUUAGUUCUGACCGGGCCCGGUACAUGGGUCAAAACAAAAUCAUCGAGGGGCCCAGAUAUCAGCUUCUAAUCCAAGAAGGAACAGAUAAACUUCGACUCAUAUGUUUGUUCUACCACUCAUUGAAUUACACACAAAAGUACGUUUUAUAACAUCGAGUUACCAAUGCGGUUUCGUACAGUCAAUGCAUAACCAACUUGUAAGUAACAAAUCAUAUCUCUAGGUUUGAAGACUUAUAUGAUAUUACCGUCUCACGAUCACUCGAGAUAGAAUUCCAUGAAGUGAUUCCAGUGAGCGUGGGUUGAGUCCAAUGCUCAGAACUUAUGAGCACUCAUGAUUGUUGUAGCCUUGUCCAACACCUUAGACCUCUACAACCCAUCAUGACAGUCUUGAUUCAUACCUACUUCCGACAUAUGACCGACUGUGGAGGUUUGAAUAAUAUGUUACACCAAACAAAAUUAUUCUGGAAGUCAAAACAUGCAAAAGAAAUAUAGUAAACGAUUGACAAGAGAUAGCAACACUUUACUCAUAAAUAAAACACCUUUUAUUCAUCAUCAAAUGUCAAUUACACUUUACAAAUUUCUGGGUUAUCUAACUACUAAAACUUAUAUCAUCCUUCAGCCCUAUGCUCCGAGCAUGCUGGAGAUGCUUAACCCUACUCAGUCCCUUCGUGAGGGGAUCUGCUGGGUUCUCAUCCGAUGAUACCCUCUUUGCCACGAGGAGUCCUUCUUCGAUCCGAUGUCUAAUGAAAUGGUAUUUUCUGUCGAUGUGUCUGGAUCUCCCAUGAUCCCUUGGUUCCUUGGCUAAGGCAACAGCACUUUCACUAUCACAGAAAAUUUCCAUUGGCUCUUUAAUAGCUGGUACAACUCCAAGGUCUCCAAUGAAGUUCUUCAGCCAUAUCGCCUCCUUUGCUGCUUCGCUAGCUGCAAUAUACUCUGAUUCACAAGUAGAAUCUGCCACUGUCUCUUGCUUGGAACUCUUCCAAGAAAUUGCUCCUCCGUUUAGGGUAAAGACCCAGCCCGACUGAGAGCGGAAAUUAUCCCUAUCAGUCUGGAAGCUAGCAUCACUAUACCCUACAACUCUCAAGUCAUCACUCCCACCGAGGGUAAGGACCCAGUCCUUAGUCCUCCGUAGGUACUUGAGGAUAUUCUUUACCGCAGUCCAGUGUGCCUUGCCAGGGUUCGCCUGAUACCUGCUAACCAUGCUCAAGGCAAAAGCUACAUCGGGUCGAGUACACGUCAUAGCAUACAUGAUCGAUCCUACAGCCGAAGCGUAAGGUGUUCGACUCAUUUCUGCUAUCUCAGCCUCAGUGCUAGGGCUUUGUGUCUUACUCAAUCUGGUGUUACUCUGGAUGGGUAACUCUCCUUUCUUGGAAUCCUGCAUGCUGAAUCUCUUCAGCACCUUAUCCAAGUAGGUACUCUGACUAAGUCCAAUUAGUCUUUUACUCCGAUCUCUCAAGAUUCUUAUCCCUAGAAUAUAGGCAGCUUCACCAAGGUCCUUCAUAGCGAAACACUUCCCAAGCCAGGACUUUACUUCCUGCAGGGUUGGAAUGUCGUUUCCUAUGAGUAGUAUGUCAUCCACAUACAAUACCAAAAAGCUAACUAUACUCCCACUAGCCUUGACAUACACACAAGAUUCAUCUUCACUCCUAGAAAAGCCAAAUUCCUUGACCUUUUCAUCAAAGCAAAGAUUCCAUCUGCGAGGUGCUUGCUUCAAUCCAUAAAUGGAUUUCUCAAGCUUACACACUCUAUUAGGGUACUCGUUGCUGACAAAACCCUCUGGCUGACUCAUGUAAACAUCUUCAGCCAACUUUCCAUUAAGGAAAGCGGUUUUGACAUCCAUCUGCCAUAUUUCAUAGUCAUGAAAUGCAGCUAUGGCUAACAGAACCCGAAUAGACUUAAUCUUGGCUACCGGAGAAAAGGUCUCAUCAUAAUCCACUCCAGGAAUUUGAGAGAAGCCCUUUGCAACCAGUCUAGCCUUAUAAGUGUGUACUUUACCAUCCAUGUCGGUCUUCUUCUUGAAGACCCAUUUGCACCCUACUGUCUUACGACCUGGUACAUUUUCAACCAAGUUCCAAACUUGAUUGUCAUACAUGGAUUGUAUCUCGCUAUCCAUAGCCUCUUUCCAUUUAGCAGACUCGGGGCCUGCCAUGGCUUCCUCGUAGCUGUUAGGGUCAUCUUGACUUACUAGUGUCUCAUCACUAAUAAGUGUCUCACCUUCUGCAGUAAUAUGGAAUCCAUAGUAAUGCUCAGGUGCACUCCUAACUCUCGUGGAACGUCUCAGAGGUACAGAUUUGUCAAUUGGCUCAACAGGAGUUUCCUCCUCAAGUUGAGGGCUAGAGUUUGAAGUUCCUUCACCGCUUGAUUCUUGAAUUUCUUCAAGAUCAAUUUGCCUCCCACUGUCUCCUUGGCUUAUAAACUCUCUUUCUCGAAAGACUCCUCUUCUUGCUACAAAGACCACAUUGUCACUAGGUCUGUAGAAGAGGUAACCAAAGGAUCGCUGUGGGUAACCGAUGAAAAUACACCUCUCGCUUCGAGGUUCGAGCUUAUCAUGAGUCUCGCGUCUCACGAAAGCCUCGCAACCCCAAAUCUUGAUGUGGUCUAGUUUAGGUACUUUACCAGUCCACAUCUCGUGAGGAGUUUUGGCAACUUUCUUUGUAGGGACUAGAUUAAGAAUAUGGGCGGCAGUCUCUAAGGCAUACCCCCAGAAUGAGAUUGGUAGCGAAGCUCGACUCAUCAUGGAACGAACCAUAUCUAACAAGGUUCGAUUACGCCUCUCAGCCACACCAUUCAACUGUGGUGUCCUGGGAGGUGUCAAUUGUGAGACUAUCCCACAUUCCCUUAGAUAGUCGAGGAACUCUGAACUAAGAUACUCACCACCACGAUCGGAUCGAAGCAUCUUAAUGUUCCUGCCCAAUUGAUUCUCGACUUCCUGUUUAAAUUCCUUAAACCUCUCGAAAGUCUCUGACUUAUGCUUGAUCAAGUAGACAUAUCCAUAUCUACUAUAAUCAUCAGUAAAAGUCAAAUAAUAACGAUUAGCAUCCCUUGUGGCAUGUUUGAAUGGUCCACACACAUCCGUGUGUAUAAGGUCCAACAAACCUUCACCCCUCUCACACGAACCUGUGAAGGGUGACUUUGUCAUUUUUCCAAGUAAGCAUGAUUCGCAACUAUCAUCUGACUUUAGGUCAAAUGACUCCAAGACUCCAUCCUUUUGGAGUUGGCCUAUGCGUUUCUUGCUUAUAUGUCCAAGACGACAAUGCCAUAAUGAUGCUUUAUCCAAGUUAUUAUUAUUAACAGAAUCAAUACACAAUACAUUAUUUCCUAAGUUAUCAACCACAGAUACUGUUUCAUACACGCCAUCACAAGGUAAUGCUUUAAAAUAAAGAACAUUAUUAAAGAAAGCAUUAAUCGAACCAACUUCAUUAUCAAAUGAAAAGGUGAAACCUUGUUUAUACAAUGCAUGAAAGGAAAUAAUAUUUCUUGCCAUUUCUGGCGAAUAACAACAUUUAUUCAAAUCUAAACUAAACCCACUACUUAGCGAUAAAGUAUAAACUCCAAUCUUGGUGACAGGUGAAGCUUUCCUGUUUCCCAUGAUCAAGUUUAUUCUUCCUUGCUCCACAUUCUCACUUCUUCUUAGUCCCUGCAAAUCAGAACAUAUAUGAAUACCACAACCGGUAUCAAGGACCCAUGAGUUAGAAUGGGGUGAGUUAUUAGAUAAGAUAGUGUAAAUACCUGCAUGGUUGGGUUUAACUUUCCCAUCCUUCACAUCUUGCUGGUACUUUGGGCAGUUCCGCUUCCAAUGUGCCUUUUCAUGGCAAUAGAAGCAUUCAGCCUCUUUUGGGUCAGAAGAAGGAGUGAUGAAACCUUUCUUGGUUCCACUUGAAGAAGAGCCAUCAAGGGUCCUAACCUUGGUACCCUUCGAAGAACUCUUUCUCUUCUUCCCUCGUCCUUUCCCGAUUGCCAAGACAGGGGCGGAGUUGGUAGGAGUAGGAGUAGUAACAACCGCCUUACCCUUAAGACCACUUUCCGCGGUCUUUAAGAGUCCUUGAAGUUUGCUGAGAGUGACCUCUUCCUUGUUCAUGUGGUAUGUCAUGCGGAAUUGAUCAUAACAUGAAGGUAAGGAGUGCAAAAUAAUAUCUAUUGCUAGCUCCUCGGGGAAGUUCACAUUAAGCUUCAGCAAGCGGUCCACAAAUCUUUGCAUUUUCUGCAUGUGGCCCGUGAUGGGUUCUCCAUCCUUCAUUCGGGUUGUUAUCAUGGAGGAGAUGAUUUCAUACCUCUCUUGUCAUGCACUUUGAUGGUAUCUUUCCAUCAAAUCUUUGUGCAUUUAAAAAGGGUAGUAGUCCUCGUAGGACUUUUGGAGGUCAUGAUGCAUGCCACCUUGGUGGCAUCCCUUUCAUGUGCCCUAAAGUCAGCGAUCUCUUGAGGAGUAGCAAUUGUCUCAUCAAUCUCCUUAAGCUCCUUAUCGAGGACAUAUUCUUUGUCCUCGUAGCGGGUAAUCAUUCAGAUGUUUCUGAUCCAUUCAUUAAAGAUGGAUCCAUCAAAAGUGACUUUCCCACACAAGUUCAUUAGAGAAAAGGAGCCAUUAGGAUUAGAGCCAGAAGAAGCAGUGUUUACAGACAUCUGAAAAGAAGAAAAGUUUAGUUUAGAAAUAGAGAUAGUCCUUAAUAAAACACCCAAAUGUAGUAUUAAGGCUAGGACUCAAUCACAAUAUAUUAUACUUAGAAGAGGUAUGCCGUAAUCUAAGUAAUAAAAUAUUUGAAAGGUAGGUGAAUGACGAUUCACCAAUUUCCACCAAAGUCGAAAUAUUAAAAAUAUUUAAUUUGGUUCUUAGAAACUCCUAGAUUCUUUUGAGAUUCAAUGAACUUUUCAAAGGCAUGUUUCAAUCUCGAGUGUGCCCUUCAGGUUUUGUGACUGGGAUGCCGAGGAUCACAAAACAAGGUGUGAAGUAACCAUGCAAAUCACUUUGGUACCCUUAAUGUAUUACCCCUAAAUUGAUGUGCCGGUUAACCACACACGCUCCAUGAUACUAUGAUAAAUAUUAAGUCACCCUUUACCUACCUUGUUAAGUCCAAGUUAGUGUGCCGGUUAACCACACACGCUCCACUAACGACUUAGACAAAGUUUAAAGUGUAAUUUCAUGGAUUAGCACCUUAUUCACAUUUUUCCUAAGUAACUAAGAUUGGGUAUUAUUAAGAGUUUAGUUACUUAGUAUUNUUCCAAAACUUGAGGGCAAGUUUUGUAAACUUUCAAAACUUUUCAUUUCUUGUAGCUUAUGAGUUUAUUAGGGUAUUAAAAAUGAAGACUCCUCAUUUUUAUAACCCAUGAGUUCUUUUAAUGGUUUUAAAGCAAAGUGACUUUUGGUUUUUCAUAACUUGAGGACAAGUUAUGUACUCAUUAAAACAUAUAAUGAUCAAGAAUUAAUCUACCACAUAGGUUACUAACAAUUCCUAUGAUCAUCUAAACAUCAUAAGAUCAAGAACAUGAACAUGAACACUUUCAUGAAUCAAAACUUACACUUAAAACUUUAUAGUUUUGAUAACUUGUUGUUGUAAAUGGAUUAGCAAAGACAUUACACCAUCUAAAACAAGUUUUCAAGUACCAAAACAGUUUAGGGUAAUGUUUCUAGUCCAUUUCCAACAGCUAAAGUCGAAAACCUGCAUUCUGAGGCUCCUACUCGCCGAGUGCAUGAACCUACUCGAUGAGUAGGUUGAAGAUUCACAUGAACUCGGCGAGUCCCCCUAUGGACUCAGCGAGUUCAUCAGACAGAAUGCACAAAAUCGACUUUUUUCAACUAUUUAGCACAAAUAACGAACAAACAAUCCUAAGCUCUGAUACCACUGAUGGGUUUUGAGCAUUCUAACACUUCCUAAGUGUACAUGCAACCCUAAUAACCUUGGAUCUAUGUUUGUCUAAUUAUCAUGCAAAGUUGAUUUCCAAGGCUAUGAUCCUAUCUAGCAUACAUGGGGAACAAUAUUAACUUGAAUAAUAGAUAGAACUACAUACCUUGUUGUUGUAAGUGCUCCUUGAAACCUUGUGAGCCUAGCACCUAAAGUGUGAUGCCUCAAAUUCUUCAUACAACACCAAAUGCAAAGAAUAAACUUGAGAGAGUACUCUAACACAUUCAAAAUCGGCCAAGCCCUCUUGUUUCUUAGUGUCACCGAUUUUAGGGAGAGUUACAUUGCUUAUAUAGUGUAUGACAUUAGGUAAACCCUAAUGUUCCAUGACUCUUAAUUUCUUGAUCCAUGGGUUAACUCCAUGGAGCAUCCAUGGAGCAUCCUAUGGGUGAAACCCAGCUUGACAAUCCAUGGAGCCUCUUAGCCCACUAUAUAAGAUAUGGAAGAUUUACAUAAUCUACCCAUAUAUCUGACUAGUUAUCUUUUGAUCGCUUAAUUAAUUCUAAAUUAAUUCUUGAUGAAAACUAAUUAAAUAAUAUUAUUAAUAUAUUAGAACUUAUAAUAUAUUAAUAAACCAUAUGUGUUAUUUCUCUCAUUUAGUUUAUUCGAUUUCAUGGUGCCAUGCAACCCAAAUGGACCAUGCCGGGUCGGGUCAAGUAUUUACCAUAAAUAGUUAUGGACUUAGACACAUUAUCCAACAAGGGGCACCAUGUAAGUUUGCAUGGUUAUUCACACCCUGUUUUGUGAUCCUCGGCAUCCCAGUCACAAAUCGAGGGACAUAUCGAGAUUUAAACAUGUCAUUGAAAGGUUCAAUGAAUCUCAAAGGAUCUAGGAGUUUUCGAUACAUUUAAAACUUAAUAUCGUUUUCUUUUUUCAUGGUGGAAAAUUAGUGAAUCGUCAUUCACUUACCUUCAAAUGUUCUGCAAUUUGGGUUACGACAUCCCUCUCCCAAGUUGUGGAAUAUCGGGUUGGGUCCUAGCCUUAAUAUUUCAUUUGGGUGAUUUAUUAAGGACUCAAUCAAUCAACUAACUUGAAUUUUUCUCCCGUUUUGUAGAUGUCAAAGUAUGACAACUAUAGUCUUCCCAAAUCCCAUGGAACAAGCUUUCCACAUGAAGAUGAUAUUCCAUGAUUCGAUUGAGGAACACGAGAUCAUGCUUCACUUCCUCCACCUCCUCCUAUUGUUCUACCUAACCCACAAGUUCAAAGGCUUGAAAAGUUCAAACUCACUCAAGCCCUUUUGGCAAGUAAACAUGAAGAAGGAAAGUCAGUGUGUCCACACGUCUUAGAGAUAAAGUCACACAUUGAUAGGUUAAUGUUGGGAGCCGUUGUUUGUGAGGAGCUGGCUGUUGACUGGGUUCUUCAGUCGCUUCUUGACUCAUAUAGUGAGUUCGUAAGAGAGUACUAUAUGAUAGACCACGACGUGACCCUCGUCGAUCUCACCUAUUUGCUUAUUGUUGCUGAAUCAGUGAUGAUUUGGCGCACUGGAAAAACAAAGUUGAUUAGUGAAUCUGCCUUCUAGACCUCUAUGAACAUAUGCGAUGGACAACGAAAGGCAUGCCAUGGUCGAAAAGUUUGAUCAUAACAGAAAGGCAAAGUCUGAAGUAGUUUCGUGUGCUGUUCCAAAAGAGUCAAUUUGCUUUUAUUGCCAAGAGAAGGGGUAUUGGAGAUGAAGCUGCCCAGUCUACCUGAGAGAUUUAAGAGAUGGGAGAGUCAAGACAUUUGGCUCUACUUCAGGUAAAAUCCACUAUCUAACUCCAUUAAGUUCCUAUUCAUUGAUUCUUAAUACAUAAUGUGAUAAUAUUACAUUUGAAUGUUUUGCAGGAUAAAUGAAAAGAGAGGAAGCUUGAUGGAAAAACAAGACGAGUUUGAUCACGAAGAAAUGGAUCAUGAUCGCAUGGAUUCGAAGAUCAUGUUUUGAGCUUAGAAAGUUAUGAUAGAUUUGUUAGGAAUAUUUGAUUACAUAGUUUUUCAGUUAAUUUUGCAUUCUAAGGACGUGUUUUCCGCUGCUUUUAUGAAUAAAAUUAUUUUUUUGAUUUGUCUUAUAUAUAUAUAUAUAUAUAUAUAUAUAUAUAUAUAUAUAUAUAUAUAUAUAUAUAUAUAAUAAAAAANAUGUUAUUUUUGGUGGUGUCAAAAUUUUCUAAGUAAGGAAAGAUUCCCAUCAGCCAAGUUUCAAUUGGAUAGAAACUUGGAAUCAUACAACUUGUAUUGUGUGAUGUAUGGAAAUCUUGGUACUUAGGAAAUUAAGACUAAUUCCUUGAUCACACAAGUAUGUGAGUCAAGUGAAGAACUAAAGUACUAGAACACAAUGUUGUGCACUAGUUAAGUCCACCACAAAUAACAAUAAGACUAUUCAUCAUAAUUUACUAAAAGUCUGGUAAAUGUGGUUAUGCUUACAAGAUUAAGUGUAAUUAUGAAUCAUUGAAAAGUUUCAAUGAAUGGCAAACGAAUAAGAAGAAUCAUUUAGGUAGAAAGAUAAAAAUUUCUCCAAUCUAAGAAGGGAGAGUACUUUUGUAUCAGAUUUUAUGAUCGUCUUAAUGAUUAAGAACCAUAUCACAAUUGAUCCUCUAAGGACAUCUUAUUGCACUAGUAUGGCUAAGAAGAGGAAUCAGAAAUUGUUGAAAUGGUUAAAUCAAAAGGACGAGUCAUACUUCGUUCCAAAAUCAAGUCUUAGAAUCGUACUCCAAGAUUGUGAGUUGAGUGACACACACACAUCAAAUGUGAAGUAGAAAAUUGCUUUUCCUACUCUUGCACGUUUGAGAUUGGUAAGUUGUGAUGUCUAUGAUAAGACAAAGACCAACUAAGACCAAAUGUGUGUAAUGUUUUGUCUUGAUAUAGACACACACUAACUCUUGGAUAUUUGUUUAUCAAUAAAUGUUUCUUGAUAAGAGAAUCUAAUAUGCCAAGAGGUCAGUGGGAGUCUGAAAAUAUUGAAAAGAUUCAAGAACUAAUCAAGAGUAAACCUAUUAAACACUAGCACACGACUUGAGGUUUGUAGCCUAUCGUGUCGAAAAAAUUCUUUUUAUGUGCCAAUUCUGUUGAGUGAUUAUGCAUAUGAGUUCUACGAGUUCUUAAUAAAAUGCAUAAGGCAACCACCUUAUUCAAUGAAAGUACAUUGACUGGAAUAGGUGAGCUGCUAGAUAACUUGGAAGCAAUGGUGGGACCCUUGAUGGCAAGAAAUUAAGAAUGAACAAGUUUUGUCCAUAAGAGUUUGAAUUUGUCACAAACAUUAUCUUUCGAUUAUGCUUAUGGAAAAUUCACAUGGAUAGGAACACAUACACCAUAAAAUCUAAGUGUUAUAAGGUUUCUCUCCUUCAUGAAAACGAUUGUGAGGAAACGCUUUCAGUAAGAGAGAUUUUAAGAAGAUAGCGAUUAUGUAAAUUGCAUUCUCAAAUUCGAUUAUGAUUACGGCAUCCCUCUUCAUAGUUCGAAUUGUGAGAUUUGGCAAUUAGUUUGAACAAUUGGGACUUAGUAAAAUAAGUUCUGAAUUAGUUUAGACACACAUGUGAUUUGUCGAAGGAAAGGUAUGUGAUUUUGAGAAGCUUAUAUAAAGGCUUAUCGAAGCAUAUCGUAUUAGAAACAAUGAAAUUUGGAAGUCAAUAUGUAUUGUUUUCUAGAAGUUUAGCUGGUUUCUAAAUACGUGUCAAAGCUAGUGGGAGCAUAAAUGUUAUGUCGGAAUGGAUAUAAUCAUCAUGUUAGUGGGAGCAUGAUUAUUAUUUAAGUAUUGCAAGUUGGCGAUAUUAAUUACAGAAAAACAAAAGUUUCACUUUGCAAAGUUGCAGGGGUAGAAAAGUUGUUUUUGCUAUAAUUAAGGGAGAGAAUGUUAUACUUCGUUUCCAAUCUAAAAGCUUAGAUCAAGAAAUUUUAAUUGAAUUUAGUCAAGGGUAUAUUUAUUAUUUGCAUUCUCAAAGUUCGAUUAUGAUUACAACAUCCCUCUUCAUAGUUCGAACUUUGAGAACAUGGCAAAUAGAAAUAUUAUGACGAUAUUAUAAUAAGAAACUGGUAAAGUAUCACAUUUUUCAUUAUGAAUCGUACGCUCGAUUGCAUAUGCUGUAAUAUUCGACCAUUUUAAAAUUUUCCAAGUGCCUAGGGCAUUUAGAGGGAAAAAGGAAAUAAAACCGGUUUUGACUAAAAUAAUUAAACAACUGCCAAGGACAAUCUAAGGUUCGCCAAGGAUUGGUCGCUUGUGGACAGUUGAAACUAUAGUCAUGGAUGGACCAUAUUGACAUUAUUAUGAAUAGAUAAGAUUCUAUUUAGAAUGAGUUGUUAUAUGGAAAAUAUGGAAAUGUUUCCAUAUUGGGAGUUGAAUAUCGAGAAUAAAUGUCUAGAUUAGAAACUUUUAUGCAAGAAGGAUGUUCAAAGGAAUGUACUUUGAAUAUGAGACUUCAUGUCUAUGGAAUUGUCUUGGAACAAUAUCCAAUAGAGCACUUUGUGAUUUCAUUGGCAAAGUCUUGGUGACUUUGGCGCCGUGACAUUAUGAAAGGAUUGUUGCAUAAAAUGUUAGAAUCUAACAUAUUCUAGUAGUGGCGAGAAUUUUGUAUUCUUACACUAAUGGAUUAGGAAUUGUGAAAUGAGUGUGAUUAAAAAUGUUACUCAAUUAUACUAUUUCACAAAGUAAGGACCAUAAGUAAACAUAGUGUGCAUGCUAAGUGCAUGGGACAAUUGUUGUUAUACUUCAAGUAAUAAGUUGAUUACCCGAAACAUUAUAUAAUGAAUAAUGUGUAAUCAAUAUGGUGAUUAAAUAAAAGGAGUUUUAUUUAUACUCAAAAUUUGGGGCCAUAUUGGGUUUGAUUAUUCUUGUGUUUCACUUUGCAUGUUUUGACUUCCUUUGGGAGUAGGUAUGAAAGAAGAUUGUCAUGAAUCUAACUGUAGAUUGUCUAAAGUGUUUUAGACAUAGCAAAAUUUUGCUGCAGGGUUCAUGAGUGCUACUAUAAGAUUAGAGUAUUGGAAUAAACCCACGCUCACUUGGAUCGCUUCAUGGAUUUUAUCACGAGUGAUUGGUGAGAUGAUAAUAUCUUAUAUUCUUGAAACCGAGAUGUGUAAGUUGUAUCUUGUGAGUCGGUUACACAUUGAUAAUAUGCAAACGCACCAGUAACUUGGUGUUAUAAAACGUAUUGUUGUGUGUAAUUCGGUGAGUGAGUACAAGCGAGCAUUGAGUCGAAGUUUAUUUGUUCCUUUUACCCAAAGUGGGAUAAAAUAGAUAUAUGUGGGCCCCUCGAUGAUUUAGUGAUGACAUCUAAGCGCUUGGCCAAGUCGGGACUAAGUUGAUGUGUUCACUUGUAGUCUGUUAUCAGUCGUCAUAAAUCGGAAAUCAGGAAACAACACAUAGACUGAGAGAAUGAUUUAAAUCCAUGUCUCACGUCUAUACGAUAUCAAGAAUGGAUGAAUAUAUGAUCCCUUAUCUAAAGGACACGCUAUCUGAUAAGAUCAGAGUUGACAACGGCUUUUGAAGCUACGAUUGUGGAUCAGGAUCUGAAGUCAUAUGUAGAAUAGUUAUUACACUUAUCCAAGUGGCAAACUGUUGGAUUAGUGUCUAAGUUCAUAACUAUUUUGGUAUGUACUUGACCCGAUGGUGCAUGGUCCUUUUGGGUUGCCUUCAUUAAAGCAACUUGAUAGGAUGAAUUAUGGAGAGAGAGGAUUAAUUAUGAUUAAUUAAUAUAUUAUGAGAAUUAUAUAUUAAAGGAGAAAUCAUAUUGCUUAAUUAAUAUUAGUCAAUAAUUAAUUUUGUGGCUAAAAGAUAUUAAUUAAAUAAAGGGGACUAGAACUGUCAAUUGUGUGAUAGUGGAAUAUUAGGCUAAUGGACUUCAUAGAGGAUGGAGUGAACGAAUUCUAUGGGGAAACCCAUUAGAAAUCAUCCAAGGCCUCUAAGGAGGGAGUCUAUGGACUGCUUAGGGCCUAAGCAUUCAAAUUAGGGUUUCCUUGUUAGAUAACCCUAAUAGCCUCACAUAUUUAAGGACCCCUAGGGCACCAAAAACGUGGCUAAGAGUUUCCUAAGGGUUCUAGACGGUUUUUGGGUGCCUCUCCUCUUCUCCUUCUUCAUCCUCUUGCUCUUGGUGUUUGUGAGCCAUUAGAGGAGUGACACUUGUGACUCUAAGCUUUCAGAAGACAAUUACAAGGAGGAUUUGAGAUUGUUAUUGCUACAUAACAAUCAAGGUAAGAUCUAAACCCUUUUUCUUAUGUUAAUAUCGAUUAUCACAUGCUAGAUCUAGGGUUUAAAGUCUUGGAUGAAUGCAUGUACAAUAGAGAAACCUAGAUCCAAGCAUUAGGGUUUGCAUGAGCACAUAGGAUGUUCUUAUGGAUAUAAACCAUCAUAGCAUACCUCACACAGUCCACAUAUGCACAUAAUCGAUACUAGCUAUAACAACUACAUAAACCAUAUCAAUCACAUAAGUCAUAUCAAUCACAUUGCCAUAUCAUAUAAACAUAUAAGGAUCGCUCCUCCCAAGGUCUUACUCCAGGAUGCCAUGGGCUCCCCCACAUGGUCUUACACCUAAGUGUCAUGGGAUCCCCCCAUGGUCUUUAGCUGAAAAGCCAUGGGCUCCCCCACAUGGUCUUACAUCCAAGUGACAUGGGCUCCCCUCAUGGUCUUUAGCUGAAAAGCCAUGGGCUCCUCCACAUGGUCUUACAUCCAAGUGCCAUGGUCUCCUCCAUGGUCUUUACCUAAAAAGUCAUGGGCUCACCCACAUGGUCUUACAUCCAAGCGACAUGGGCUCCCCUCAUGGUCUUCCAUGCAAGUAUCACAAAGACAACUAGCGUACCACAUACCACAUAGUCAAAUAGCAUACCACAUAAUCAUUAGCAUACCACAUAUAGAUGCAUACCAAACAUAUCAGUAGUGAAUCUACAAUAAACACUACAACUAACUGAAUGGUCCGACCUUGGUGCCUUCGACCCAUUGGUGUGGGGAGGAGACUCACCUUACACUGCUGAAGUCCCGCGGAUAAAACCCUAGCUGCUGGAUGACAGAUUCCUGAACUGUCCAUAUCAAAACAACACCCAAUUAAUAAUUUGGUUCCAAUACAUAACCAUAAGUAUAUGUUUGGGGUAAAAGACUAUUUUACCCUUAACCUAACUUGGUCCAAAACCAAGGUCCAAACACACACUCUGAAAGCCCAAAAACCAAUCAAUGAACCAAGGCCCAACAUAUGGCCCAAUUUUCCAAAUUGGGCCCAAACCUUUACACGAACUUAUCUUAUGGCCCAACCAUUUAUCCUAGCCCAAACAUUUGGCAUUAUGAUGGUCUAAUAUCUCAUAAUCAUCAAGGCCCAAUUAUAGCCCACCUAUGUUCCCCAAUUAUGGCCUCUCUUAUGAGCCUUAUCCUAAAGCCCAACAAUUUUCUUAGUCCAUAAACAUGUUCCCCAUUUGGCCCACGAAGGCCCACAUCAAGUUAGUCCAAGAAAUGGCCCAAUAAGAACCCAAACCCAAUUAGGGGUUUUCACAUAAAAUGACGAUUUGGGUUAAGUGUUCUUACUUAACCUAUGAAGGACUUAAUCCAUUAAGUUCAUCACUCCACUAGUCCAAACAUCCAUUAUUGUUGGGUGUAAUUCAAAAUUCCAAAUCUAAUGGUCCAAAAGCGGGUCCCGAAAAAUCCAAAAUACACAUUUCCAAAAUUAGGGUUUUCUAAACCCUAAUUAGGGUUUCCAACCAAAUCAAGAAACCAAUUAAUCCAAUAGUUAAUUUUUACAUUAAUUAAAGUCUAAUCAAGUCGGGUACCACCCACUACCACUUCGAGUAGUGGUNUGGUGGCUGGCGGUGGUUCACAGCGGCAGCCACCACCUCACGGUGGUGGUGGUUAUGAUCUUGGGCCAAAGAAAUACCAAAAGCACUCCAAAAAUCUAUCCAAAAGCACCUAAAAGCCCAUAGCCACUGGAGAUGGUGGCCAGCAGUGGCAGAACAACGGCGAAAGGUGCUGAUGAUUUUCCUUCCAUUUCCUGCCCAAAAGAGAUUCAUAUAAUCAUUAAACUCAUGAAAUAAGUUCAUUCUUACACCAAAUCAUGCACACAGCCACCUCCUUACGGUGGCUGGUGGUGGCAGAAGCAGAUGAUAUGGCGGCAACCACCAUGGUUGGCUGCCAUUGUGGUUGUUUAAGACUUCCCGCCAUCCACCCACACACACAUACGACUAACACACACUCGUUUGCUGCUCUAAACAUAAAAUGCACCUUGCACACACAAUUAACAUGUACAAUAUCGCCACUCAUGCGGUGGCAGACAAUAGUCGAGGGAUGUAGCAAGAUAAGCCGCCGGUUGGAGCGGCAGCGACGAUGACGACGUGACCGGCGAGACAUGACAGAACCACGAAGAGGGGUUACAUCAUCGACGGAGAGAGAGACUUGGCAGGCACAUGGUUUUCGUCCCGUCUCCCCACAGUCACAAUGUUGAGCUUGUGACCCCCAUCCUUGUCGGCGAAGAACAUAGUGGUUGCGGUGCUCAUCGGUCUAUUUGUGGCUACCAGAUGACGACGGCUGGAGCAUGGUGGCUUAAGGGUGGCGGCUGGAUGUUACGGCUAGGGUUAGGGUUAGUAUGCAUCCAAAAACGGGAGGGAAGGGAAUGACGGGUUUUAAGUCCCGUGUUCCUUUCUAUCUGAUAAACGAAAUUGACACAUUCGGUCCCUCCCACUCUUAAUCUUUUCAAAACAGAUCCCUAAGUUACCAUUCAACCCUCAACAUUUCAAAAUCCUCUCAAUUUAAGUCCCAAUCUUACCAAACAGCCCCUGACUUCUGAAAAUCUUUACAAAAUAAAUCCUGUAAAUUACACUUUUACCCCCGAAAUCCAAUUUAUAACAUUUGGCUCCCCAAAACCAACACCCUACUAAAUAUUAUUAAUUUGGCUAUAAAAUAAUAAUAAUAAUUACAUCUCGGGGCUUUAGAGUUUAUUAUUUAUUUAAUUGAUUUUAAACAGAAUGUUACAACUCUCCUCCACUUAAAUUAGAUUUUGUCCUCAAAAUCAUUCCUUACCACUCCUGACACGCCAAAUAACUUGAGCAACACAGCUACAACCACAAGUGAUGACUUGAUUAUUUGUAUAUAUUUUAGCAAUCGUUUUCUUUUACUUGUAGCAUUUUUAACAUUCUUUUUGCAAUAAAUCGUUAGAUUUAUUGUUUUGAAUAUUUUUAUUCGUUUAAUCUAAUUUUGUGUAGAUUUGUUCGAGCAAGAUGGUAUUUGGAGAUUCGUUAAAGCCACAUCGAAUUCCUUGCAACCACGAUUGAAGUCUUGUAGCAAAAUCCAGGAGCGAAAAGAAAUGCAAAACAAAGCGAUAUAAAUUAAAUUUACGGAUUUUGACAGCUUUGCACGACUUUAUUCAAGCGAUCAAACAGAGGGUCAAAUGAUGUCCGAUUGAGCUGAAAAUUUACAGGAGUCUUCACAACUCAUCAAUCUUCGACCUCACAAAAAAUGAGCGGAUUUAAACAAGUUUAGAUAUGGUUUUUGACCUAGUGAACAUCAGAACAGGAAGCUGCCAGGUUUAGCUUUGGCAGCCCGAUACAUAAAGCUUGUGGCAAUCCAUUUUCAGAUUUUAAAUAGCCCAAAUUUUAAUUUCCAGCAGCCCACAUGAAUUAUUUAUUAGCCCAAUAAGUUUGUGUUGGUGGUGGAAGGAAAGCAAGUCACGCAAGUAGGGCAUUUUUUGGAGUUAAGAAAAUGAGAAGGCAGUGAGUGGAUAGGGAGAACAAGAACGACGCCUCUUUGGUUUCUUCUAGUCUUAUGUUUCUUUUCUUUUCUUAUUUUUGGAACAUUGCAUUUAUAAUUUGUUAAUGAGUUAUUUAUAUUUUUAAUUAGAUUAGGUUAGGUUAAAUUUUGUAUUAAUACUCGGAUUAUGGAUGGAGUUUUUGGAGCAACAAGAAGUGACGAUUUCAAGAAGCUUUGUUAUCUUCGUUUCGUAAUCGGUAUUGAUAUAAUUUCUAUCCUUUUUAUUGUUAUUAUUAUUUUGUCUAGUUAGUUUUUAUUUUCAAUAUUGGUUGAAUCUAUGAAACAAUUAAUUGAUUAGGAAUAGUUUUGUAUGGUUUUGAUGGCAUGCUAUGAAAUAUUUUCUAGUAAAACAUCUAUUUAUGUUCAUAUGUCUUUAAUCAUGAGUUUAGAUAUGUGAAUAAUUAAUUAGUUGAUUAAUUUCUUGAUUAAGUAAUAGAUCUUCAAAUUAACAAGCAACAAAUGGUUCUUGUGAUUGUUUUUCUUUCACACAAUCAUGAAAAUAUUUUCUCCAACAUGGUGGUGAAAGCAUUUUGACUCCUCUUGGAUUUGGUGGCUUUUAAAUCUUAAUGCUAGUUAAUUUUCAUUAAUUACAUGCUUCAUGGAAAUUAUGACUUUAACUAAGAAAAUGUGUUAUGAGCUUCUCUAACCAUUGUAUUAACUAAGAAAAGUCUAGGUGAUCUCAAACUUCUUAGAUUGCUAUAGCCAAAUUAGUAUCCAUUAAACCCAUUGCACCAUACAAUUAUGAUGAUUAGUCAACUAAUUGAACUUGUGAUUUAUCCCGACAUUGGAAUGUUUUAUUUUAUAGAUUUUGUAUUUUUUCCAUUUUUGUUAUUUUUGUGAAAUAGUUUUUAUCGCAUUUAACAUUUUGAAAACCCCCAUAUCAUUUUAUAUUUUUUUAUUUCGUAGAAACUGAAUGCAUAGAUUUGAUUCGAUCCCUAUUACCACUACUACAAUUCAAUUUUGUAUGUUGUCGUAUAUAGGUUUUUUUUAUUUGGUGGUCUCGACAACCACAACAAGCAUACCCCCAGCCUUUCCAAGGCAACCAAAACCAACCUGCAGGGUUCUAAAACUCGAAGAUGAAACGAAUUCCUUGCAAUAUGAUCCCCUUUACCCAAUUUGAAACCUAAAGUCUCGAGAUGGUCUGUCUCCCUGACGGACCGCCUAUACUGAAUCAUCGCUUGAAUUCAUUACGCUUAUCUCCCAAGUGGCUGCUCAACUUCUGAUAACUUGAGGUUCCCACUAGAAAACAGAGACACAGAUCAAAUUUCCCUGCAAUACACUUAUUCUUAACAGAAAACUCAGAUAAUCUUUCGAGUAGGAGACUUAUCCUUGCAAUGGUUAGACUCAGACGAGAGUUGCGUAACAGGGUGAAAUCAACCACUUUAAGAUUAUUUAACUCAACUGCGAACAACUUAGCGUAUACCCCGAAUACGAGCAACUCCACACACUGAUCCCAAGUCACUGAACUGAUCUCGACCAUAGACUUGGAUAACAUUGAACACUCCAAACCAGCAAAGAGGGAAACGACCUUUCACUAACCACCAUGUAACUCAUGGUAUGCAAAUGACAUACGACCUCACUUAAAGAUAUAACCUAAACACAAACAGGGAAGCAAACUCAGAGCUACACUUACCCAAACCCUUGGAACGAAAAACUACAUCAUGUAGUUUCCCACAAUUACUGCACUGAAUCUGGCCCUGCUGGUGGUAGCAACCGUCAGGAAAUUUACCCACCUCUACCAUAAUGUUAUUUUGGGAGGUUGGUGAAGUCUAUUUGUAACAUCAUGCUGCGAGAUAAUUCUUAAUUGAAUUUUGAUCGUGAUUUGAUCAGGUAGAGGUCUCGGGCCUCAAAGGAUUAGGCUUGGAUCUAGAGGGAGAAGGCCAUUGGGCUAUGAGUUAAUAUUUUAGGCUAAAGGUGAAGUUGGGCUUAAUCGGAAGCUGGGUAUGUUGGUCGAGGCUUUUCGCGGUGUGAUAGAUGGUUUACCACGGUACGAUAGGUAUUAUAGCCCAAUCCCAUGAAGAUUAGAUUUUCCUCUAUAUUUAAGGGAAACACAACCGUGUUUUAGGUCAUUAAUAGCCUCCAUCUGGCCAUUAAGCUCCUUGGGAGAAAACCCUAGCCACCAUAUUGCUCUUUCACCAUUUCAUUUCAAGUUUUAUGCUUUUUGUGCACUUUUAAAGAUAGAGGAGGUGGUUCUUGGUGUAAUGAGUGAUUGCUUUAGCUUUGAUCUAGCCUCAUAUUGUGUUUCUGGACUUGGGUAAGCCAUAAAUCUCCUACCUUAAUGCUUUAUUUCUUUGUUGUUGACUUGGUUAUGAAGUUUUGGUCCCUUUUAUGGAUGCUCUUAGAGUUUGCGGAACUCCGGAGCUUGCUAUGACACUUUUAUGAUCAUUGGACUUCUAUUAAUAGAGAAAAGGGACCACGUUUGGGUUUUCUUGAAUCCAUGCACAAAUACUUGGCCUUUAGAGAGCUUAAUGGAUUUAGGGUUUAAGAUAUUGCCUUGUGGUGAUCUCUAAUUGCAUAAAGUUGGAAACUUUAUCCAUUAAGUCAAUGAAAAGAACCAAAUCUAAAUUUAUGAGCCUAGAUAUGUAAGGAUUAAUCUCUUAAUGAAGAAAAUCAUUUCUAACCAAAACCGCAGCAUGAUCAAGGAAGGCCCGCGGCAUCGUGGUGCGUUGUAACACGUCUGUUUUGUCUAGACUUGGCCAUAACAUGGGGGUUGUUGACUUAGUUAACCGUUGAUUGUUAAUUUUUGGCCAGUUUGACCUUGGGUCAAAUUUGAAUUAUUUGGGUUGUUGAUUAAGGGUUUACAUUUUUUUAGUGAUAGUCGGUAUGUGGGUUUGAUCAGAGCAAGGAGUUGAGAGUGUAGCAGUGUUUCUCCAGCUUUACGAUUCAGGUGGGUCUUCUUACUAUGCCACGUGUGACCAGGAUGUAGCCCAAGACACUUGUAUGAAAGAACAAUAUAUAUCCCCUGACAAUUGUAUGAAAGACCAAGAUGUAGCCCAUGGCAAGUUGUAUAGUGGAAUGAGUGCCAGCGGACGAUACAUAUGAAGGUUAUGUAUGUUGUAUGCAUAUUGAAAAAAGAGUUGGCAGGUCGGCGCUAGAGUCGAGAACUUUGUUUGUAUGUGUUGUAUGUAUGGUGGAAUAUGUGGUAUACUAGGGAACUCACAAACCUUUAUGCUUACAACUGUGAUUAAAUGUUUUGAGGGUUGUUAGUGAGAAGAGCUCGAUGGGACUGCACACUCACAUCGAAGAUAUUGGUUUCUACCGUUUUGCAAUUCAACUAUCUUAAUCUUAUGGUUUUCAAACGAAUGAAUGCCACUUGAUGGUUUUAAUUUAGGGACGUUAGAAGUUGGUAUUAGAGCCUUAGUUUGAGGGAUUCAGGAACGCAUUAUGAUGUGUCUAAAAUCAAACUAAGGAUUGAGGGAUUUUAUAAAUUAAAUGUUUGACAAAAUAAUAUUUUUAUUUAAAGAAACUCGAAUGAAAUAUUUAGGUCAGAAACAUGAGCUCAAUCUUUCGCCAUGUUCUUGUUUGAUUGUUGGCCUGAGAUCGUGAACAUGGUUUCUUGAUCUAACAUUAAUUUAUAAAUGAGGAUGUGAUACGUAUAAACAAUUGGAGCUCAGUUAGUAAGUGAUUCCCAAUAUACUCAUAACAUUAGUGUUAUCGAUGUUGGAUUAGGUGUCUAAGCCCAUAACUAUAAUUGGUAUGUACUUGACCCGAUAGUAGCAUAGUCCUUUUGGGUUGCCUUCACCGGAGAAAUUUGAUAGGAUGGAUUUUUGAGAAAGAGGUUAUUUUUUAUUUAUUAAUAUAUUAUAUGAAUAAUAUAUUAAUUGAGAAAUCAUAUUAUUUAAUUGGUAUUUAUCAAAAAAAUAAUUUGGAAUUAAUUUAGUGAUCAAAAGAGACUGAUUAAAUUUACAGGGAAUGAUUAGGUAAAUCAGUAAUACUUAUAGUUUGGGCUACUGAUCCAUGUUUAUUAGGGAUGGAGUAAAUCUAUAUGAGAGUCCAUGAAGGUUUAGUCAUUAGGAAUGGACUAAAUCUGUAACAUCCCGGAAUAUCAAGAGUAAAGUUGAAGGGCUAAAAAUGUAAUUGGGAAAGGGCAACUCGGCGAGUCCACGAGUGGACUCGGCGAGUAGGGUCGCGACUUUGGUCGCGUGUUAAGUGGCCAACUCGGCGAGUCGGCGGCUGGACUCGGCGAGUUGGUGCUGAGUGGAGAAAACCCUAAUUUCGGAGGAUGAGCCCUAUAUAAAGGACAUUAUACCCUCUCCCCAGCCUCCUUACCCUCCCUUGAAGUCCAGAAAACCCUAGAAACGCGAUUGUGAAGGAUUUGAGUGCAUUUGAGCCUUGGAGAAGAGAUUUUGGAGGAGAUCUUGGAAAGUUAGGAGGCUUGGAGCAAGGGGCUUUGCUAAGAUUCAGAUUUCCUUGCUGUUGGGGCUUCCUUUUGAGGUAUUAUCUCGUUCUUGGGCUGCUAUUCAUCUAGAUUCAUCAUUUUUGGGAUGUGUGGGAGGUUUAGCUUGUGGUAUUUUGAGUUUGAAGGAUAGAUCUGAGGUUGCUACCUCAGAUCUGGAAUGGAGAAGGUCUAGAGUGCAUUAAAGUCCCUGUUCUUGAGUGUUUGGUGAAGCCAUCUUGUCCCAAACCCUAGCCUUAGAGUUUAAAAUGCCUAGAUCUCCUUGGAUUCACGUAAAGUUUGCCACUUUACGUGAUGGAUGGGUUAUAGGAGGGUAGAUCUACGUUUCCGAUCAAUUGCAUGGCCUGGAAGGCUUCUGUAUGGGAUGAGAUCUAGAGGCACUCGGCGAGUCAUAAAGGUGUACUCGGCGAGUUGCUUGAAGAUGGACUGGAACUCGGCGAGUUGGAAGAACAACUCGGCGAGUAGGUUGAAGAUAGCCUUAGACUCGGCGAGUCUGUUCUUGGACUCGGCGAGUCUGGUCGUGAGGUCCUAACCUUCCUUCUGGUUGAGCUGUGAAUCGGUGAGUCAAGGGAUGACUCAGUGAGUUGAGUGUGAAAGGACUUAGAGUUGUUGGACUCGGCGAGUCUCGGGGUGACUCGGCGAGUUGAGUCGCGGAUUGGGGAAGUUUUGUGCAUGGGGACUCGGCGAGUCAUCGGGUUGACUCGGCGAGUAGAGUCAGUCAGGGGUUGACUUUGACUUUGACUUUGACCAAGGGUUGACCAGUUGAUUUCCAGGGGCAUUUUGGUAAUUGUUGGCAUUUGUUUUGAGUUCAGUGUUUUGGUGGUUGGCCAGUGGUGGAGAUCAUAUCAGUGGUCGGAGCAGCUUGGGUUUAUCUGUUCAGUCGGCAAUUUCGAGGUGAGUUAUCCUCACUAUAUCAACAGGGUCUAAGGCACCAAGGCCGGCCCUUUGUCUGACUGAGAUCCGGGUAUCAUUGUUAUGUUAUUACAUUGUUAUGUUUGCAUCCUGGUAGCUAGGAUGGUAUAUGUUAAAGACCUGGUUAAGGUCGGUAUCCUGUUAUGUAGGGUGAUGCUAUGCUAGUGACCGGUUAGGCCGGUAUCAUGGUUAGGAUGAUGAUAUGUGAUGUGAUUUGUUAGAUCGGCUUGUUGACUGUGAAUUGUUACAUGAUUGUAUGUUUAUGUGCACAUGGUUGUUGGACUGGGGUUGGGUUGAGGCGGGUCCUGCUUUGUGCUGUAGGCCAACAUACCCAGGGCGGACCGGUUGUCCCGAAGGCCCAGCGAGCGGUCCGGAUAGGCUGUAGGCCCCAAGAGGGCGGACCAGACGUGCCGAGGCUCGGAGAGUGGACCAGGCCGACUGAAGGCCCAGUGCGGGCGGACCAGUCAUACUGUAGACUCAGAGAGUGGACCAGGUGGAUUGAAGGCCCGGUGCGGGCGGACCAAUCACACUGCAGACUCGAUGUAUGUGGUUAGACUCGGAGGGUGGACCAGGUGGACUGAAGGCCGGUGCGGCGGACCAGUCACACAGUAGACCCGAAGUGCAUGGCUGUUCUGUGUUCUGUUAUGAUAUGGCAUGUUAUGCGUGUAUGGUAUAUGUGGUUGGUAUUUUGGGGAUAUCUCACUAAGCUUUCGGGCUUACAGUUGUGGUUUAAUGUUUUUCAGGUUCUUCAGGAGACCGUGGCAAGGCAAAGGCGUGAUCGUGCCGCUCCACAUGAUUAUGUUUUAUGAUGUGAUUUUGGGAAGACUCUGAUAAUAAUUAUAUUGAAAACCUUUUUGUAAUAACAUUGAGAAAAUGGGUGGUUUUUGAAAAAGUUAAAAUUUGUUGAAAUUUAUGGUCGUUACAAGUUGGUAUCAGAGCCUUUGUUUGAGUGAAUUGGAGGAACAUUCGUGUGAAUCCAGUCUCAAAUCAGGGAGAGUUUUUAAAAGAGAAUUUAAAAUGGUUUUCAAAAUGAGUAAAAGGAGGACGCGGAGGUACGAUCAGCCGGAGCCAGUAAGUAACCCCAAAAUACCAUACAUGAUAUUUGUUUUUGAGCUUUGAUAGAACAGCAUGCUAGUACUAGGCUAGAGAUCUUCAGGAUUUCAUGAUAAUGUUGCCUGAUUUAUGAUGCCUGCUAGCCUAGGGUCCUCUGUGGGAGAUUUCCGGUGUUCCUCUAGGAGUGAGGACUGAGCGUUUGUUAUGUAUGUAUUCACUAGGGUGUUGUGGUAGUACUUCAUACAAAUAGUGGUAGGUGUGGAAGGUAGUAUGGCCCCGUACUACUGAAAGCACAUGACCCAUACGUGUAUCAGGGAAACCAUGACCUCUAGGGUUGGGUUGGGAGUUGGUUCCCGGGAUAGUGGGAAGUGUCUGAGAUUUUGUGGUGUUUUUCAGUAUGGUGGUCNCCGGGUUGGAUCAGGAGCCGGAGAGGGCGGUCAGGGAGGGUCGGUACCACCCGAGGUUAUUGGUCAGAUGAGCACAGGCGAGUUGGAUGCUAGGAUUCGUGAGAUCCUGCAUGAUGAGGUUGCUGCGUUUUUCCGGGCCGAGCUGCCAGAACUGUUUGGGUCAAUCAAGACCGCCAUGGUUGAGUAUUUUGAUGAGUGCUAUGUGGCUCUCACUGAGACGGCUGNNNNNNNNNNNNNNNNNNNNNNNNNNNNNNNNNNNNNNNNNNNNNNNNNNNNNNNNNNNNNNNNNNNNNNNNNNNNNNNNNNNNNNNNNNNNNNNNNNNNNNNNNNNNNNNNNNNNNNNNNNNNNNNNNNNNNNNNNNNNNNNNNNNNNNNNNNNNNNNNNNNNNNNNNNNNNNNNNNNNNNNNNNNNNNNNNNNNNNNNNNNNNNNNNNNNNNNNNNNNNNNNNNNNNNNNNNNNNNNNNNNNNNNNNNNNNNNNNNNNNNNNNNNNNNNNNNNNNNNNNNNNNNNNNNNNNNNNNNNNNNNNNNNNNNNNNNNNNNNNNNNNNNNNNNNNNNNNNNNNNNNNNNNNNNNNNNNNNNNNNNNNNNNNNNNNNNNNNNNNNNNNNNNNNNNNNNNNNNNNNNNNNNNNNNNNNNNNNNNNNNNNNNNNNNNNNNNNNNNNNNNNNNNNNNNNNNNNNNNNNNNNNNNNNNNNNNNNNNNNNNNNNNNNNNNNNNNNNNNNNNNNNNNNNNNNNNNNNNNNNNNNNNNNNNNNNNNNNNNNNNNNNNNNNGGUGCAGUCGCAGCCGGCGUCGAAACGGUCCAAGACCGUUGAUUCUAGGGUAGGAGAUCAGAGCAGCCACACUUGUGGGAAGUGUGGGAAGGGUCACACCAGAGUUUGUAGGUCCGGUGGUGCAUGCCGCAAGUGCGGAAAAGAGGGGCACUAUACGAGGGAUUGUCGGCAGUCAGCGCCGGUUCGGGAUUUGAGGAUUUAUUAUCAUUGUCAUCAGGUUGGGCACUUGAGGGUCAACUGUCCACAGCUUGUUGCAGGACCGGUGCAGGCUCCAGCACCAGCCACUUCGAGGAUCACGGGCGGAGGUCAGGGUGGAGCGGAUCCCCCAAGGGCUUAGGGUCGUGCUUUUCAGCUUAUAGCAGAGGAGGUCAGAGCAGUGCCGGAUGCAGCUGCGAGUAUGUUUCUUUCUUGAUAUCUUGUUAUCUUGUGAUUAUUGUGGAGUAUUGUUUGUCUGGUAGUCUCGUUGUGUGGUUUUCGGUUUGGUUUUCGUUGUUCUUUGAGGGUUUGGUAUGGUUAUGGAUUUAGUAUUGGGAAUUUCGUUGGUUAUCAUUCAUGGGGGUUAUUAGUGGAAAUCUGGCAUCUGGUUUGAAUGUUGAGUAGCAUCUGCAUUCUGAGGAGUGGUUAGCUGCAGAUUGAGUUUCUUUCGAGCUUGGGAUGAUCAGUGUUGUUAUGUGAUUUUGUGAAGGUUGCUCGUGCUAGUGGGGAUCAGUUCGCGUAUAAGUGUUUGUGUGGUGUAAGGUGGUUGAGGGAGGUCGGUGAUGACGACCGGUGAUUGAUAGUCAGUGCUAUAAGUGGGGGAGAAUUGGGAAAUUCUCAGGAAGAUCGAUGAGCAUAUGAGGUUGUUUAGAUGUUUGGGAUUUAGCAGUGUUUCUGUCAGCCAAGAGCGUAGGCUGGUAUGAGUAAGUGGCAGGCAUGCGGGGCGGGAUACAGACCAAGGGUAUUUGAUUGUGGAGAGCCUGGGAUCAGGCCGGGAUUGAGUAUGUAUGAUGGAGAUAGAGUUCGGAACCCCUAGAGGGCUAGAACAGUAUGCAUGGGAGGAUUUCCCGGAGAGAUAACUCGGAAUGAUGAAUGCUAGUUGAGCGGUCCGGAUAGACUGAAGGCCGGUAGGCGUACCAGUCAGGCCGAAGGCUCGGAGGACAGUCCAGAUUGGCUGAAAGGUUCUGAGAGUGGUCCAGAUUGGCUGAAGGCCUGGUAAGGCGGUCCAGUCAUGCUGAUGACUCUGCAGGUGUUGUUAGACCGGUUCGAGGAAAUGGGUUGAGUAUGUCACGAUGUGUUAGCAUUAGAAGGUCUGGCCCCGGGUAUUGAUCUUGAUUAGUGGAGAUGGUGCAUGGACUCGAGAGUCCUUGCGAGCAGAUUCAGAGCAUGUGUGUUGCAUGGAUAGCGGUUAUGCUAUAAGGGAGUGGUGUAGCGUUGGGCGAGCACCGUGGCACUUGUCGCAGUGACAAGGCGGCCAAGUGGAUUUCCUUGGUAAGGAAAGAGAGAGGAAUGUAGCUCCGAGAGGGAGUGUAAAUUCACGGAAGUGAAAGCGGCAGUGCAGAGUUAUGAUUGGAAUGAUCCAAUUAUGGUCUUUGAGCAGCGUGAUUGCGGCAGUGGUGUGGAAUCACAUCCGGAUUGGAUGACUGCUGAGGUCGCGGAAGGGAUUCCGCGGGUGUAGAGCCAAGAGGCUCGAAAGGGAUGCAGGGAUGGAGUCAUGGAUUCCCAGCUUGAUUCUGAUCAAGGAAUUGUGUAUAUAGUGGUGAGUCAUCCUAGGGGGAUGUUUGGAGGUGUCGUCAGUGUGACGGGUUGUCCCAUCCCGAGGGUGCUAGAGCUAGUUCAGCAUGUGCAUGCGAUUGCAAGAGGAGAACUCAUGGGAGUUGCUCUGAGAUUGAAGGAUGUGUCCUUCUGUCAACCUGGAGUUGAUGGAGUUGGACUCAAAUCGGGUGUCCGGUGGUUCACGGUGAUUCUAGCUCGUUGAGUCGAGUGAUUGUUGUGAAUUGGAGUGGGUGAGGUAUCAUGGAAUGAUACUCAGUUGAUGAGUUGGUAAGUGUGGUUGUCAGAGGGCGAGGCCAGUGGCCAUCUUAAAGCGGUGGUCGGAACACCGCGGGAAGGAAAAAUUGGGUUUUUGGGUUUCGAUGGUUGUGCUUUGAGGAACUUGGUCUGGUUAAUGCCAGGUGAUGCAAUGCGAGNUAUUAGGGAUGGAGUAAAUCUAUAUGAGAGUCCAUGAAGGUUUAGUCAUUAGGAAUGGACUAAAUCUGUAACAUCCCGGAAUAUCAAGAGUAAAGUUGAAGGGCUAAAAGUGUAAUUGGGAAAGGGCAACUCGGCGAGUCCACGAGUGGACUCGGCGAGUAGGUUAGCGACUUUGGUCGCGUGUUAAGUGGCCAACUCGGCGAGUCGGCGGCUAGACUCGGCGAGUUGGUGCUGAGUGGAGAAAACCCUAAUUUCGGAGGAUGAGCCUUAUAUAAAGGACAUUAUACCCUAUCCCCAGCCUCCUUACCCUCCCUUGAAGUCCAGAAAACCCUACUAACGCGAUUGUGAAGGAUUUGAGUGCAUUUGAGCCUUGGAAAGGAGAUUUGGAGGAAGAUCUUGGAAAGUUAGGAGGCUUGGAGCAAGGGGCUUUGCUUAGAUUCAGAUUUCCUUGCUGUUGGGGCUUCCUUUUGAGGUAUUAUCUCGUUCUUGGGCUGCUAUUCAUCUAGAUUCAUCAUUUUGGGAUGUGUGGGAGGUUUAGCUUGUGGUAUUUUGAGUUUGACGGAUAGAUCUGAGGUUGCUACCUCAGAUCUGGAAUGAAGAAGGUCUAGAGUGCAUUAAAGUCCCUGUUCUUGAGUGUUUGGUGAAGCCAUCUUGUCCCAAACCCUAGCCCUAGAGUGUAAAAUGCCUAGAUCUCCUUGGAUUCACAUAAAGUUUGCCACUUUACGUGAUGGAUAUUGGAUGGGUUGUAGGAGGGUAGAUCUACGUUUCGGAUCAAUUGCAUGGCCUGGAAGGCUUCUGUAUGGGAUGAGAUCUAGAGGCACUCGGCGAGUCAUAAAGGUGUACUCGGCGAGUUGCUUGAAGAUGGACUGGAACUCGGCGAGUUGGAAGAACAACUCGGAGUUUAGGUUGAAGAUAGCCUUAGACUCGACGAGUCUGUUCUUGGACACGGCGAGUCUGGUCGCAAGGUCUUAAUCCUUCUUCAGGGUGAGCUUGUGUAACAGUGAGUCAAGGGAUGAAUUGGUGAGUCGAGUGAGGAAGGACUCAGAGUUGUUGGACUCGGCGAGUCUCGGGGUGACUCGGUGAGUUGAGUCGCGAAUUGUGGGAAAUUAUGAUCAUGGGGACUCGGUGAGUAGAGUCAGUUAGGGGUUGACUUUGUCUUGUCUUUGACCAGGGUUAACCAGUUGAUUCCAUGGGCAUUUUGGUAAUUGUUAGCUUUUGUUUUGAGUUCAGAGUCUUGGUGUUGGCUAGUGUUGGAGAUCGUAUCAGUGGUUGGAGUAGCUUGGGUUUAUCUGUUCAGUCGGCAAUUUCGAGGUGAGUUAUCUGUUAGAUUAGUGUCUAAGUCCAUAACUAUUUUGGUAUGUACUUGACCCGAUGGUGCAUGGUCCUUUUGGGUUGCCUUCACCAAAGCAACUUGAUUGGAGAAAUAAAUAAAGAGAGAGAGGUUAUUAUGAUUUAUUAAUAUGUUAUAAGAAUAAUAUAUUAAAGGAGAAAUCAUAUUUGUUUAAUUAAUAUUGGUCAAUAAUUAAUUAAGAAUUAAUUUUGUGAUCAAGUGUAAUUAAUUAAACUAGAGGGGCUGAAUUGUAAUUAUGUGAUAGUUACAAAAUAAGGUAAGGAUUAUCUUAUAUAUAUGGUGAACGAAUUUGAGGUGUAAAUCCCUUAGAAUUCGACUAGGAUAAGGAUUUCUAGGACUUAUCUUAUGGUUGCUUGGUGGACAAGCAACUAGAUAAGGAUAAGGACUAAAACCCUAAUCUUUACACCUAUAUAAACCCCCUAGGGCUUAGGAAUUCGUCCAACCCUUCCCAAGAGGUCCUAAGGACGAAUUCUAACCUCCCUCCUCUCUCUUUAUACCUUCUCCACUUGCUUAUGGUGUUUGUAAGCCAUUAGAGGAGUGACACUUGUGACUCUCAGCUUUCCAAGGUCAAUUCAAGGAGGAAUUGGAUUGUUAUUGCUAUAUAACAAUCAAGGUAUGUUCUUAAACCUAAUUACAUGUGAAUUCUGAUUUCCAUAUGCUAGAAUUAGGGUUCAAAGUCUUGGAUUCAAAGUAUGUACAAUAGAGAAACCUAGAUCCAAGCUUUAGGGUUUGUAUGAGCACAUAGGAUGUCUUAUGACCAAAACCCAUCAGUGGUAUCAGAGCCAUGAUUGGUUUCUAUUGUAUUGAUGCUUGAUGUAACUGAAAAUCGUGUUUUGGCCUCACUGUUCGACCUGACUCGGCGAGUCACUCUUGGACUCGGCGAGUCAGCCCUACUCGGCGAGUUCCAGAGGGUGACUCGGCGAGUCGGUGCGUCAGACAGUGCUUAUCUCGGGAUUUCUUGCUGUUUUUGCAUUGGGAUAAUUACCUUAUCAUGUUAGAUUAAUAUUAAUCCGAUUAUAUGAUAUAUUUGACUAUAUUUUUAAUCUAAUUGAAGAUAUUUAUCAAUUAAUAAGAUAAUUGUUUCCUUAUAAGAUAAUUGAUUAAUUAUUUUAAGUAAAUUGAUAAAUUAUUUUGCAAGAAAUCAUCAAAUAUGGAUAAUUAUGUGAUUAAAUGUUAAUUUGAAUUAUUUGUUAUUUGAUCCUUGUUGUUGUGAAAAGUUUCAUAUUUGGCCCUUUAGGUUUUAUAGUUUAAAUUUGAACCCCAAAAGUUUUGUUGUUUUGAAAUUUAAAUAGUUGAAACCCUAAUGUUUUGAAAAAGGUUUCAAAACUUGCCCUCAAGUUUUGGAAUUUAAAUUUUGAUUAAAUAGUUUAAUUUUGAUGCAUAUUUAAAUUCUAAACCCUAAUGUGUUGAAAUGUUUCAAAACUUGCCCUCAAGUUUUGGAAUUUAAAAGUUGAUUAAAAGUUUAAUUAGGAAUGUUAAAUUCUAAAACUCUAGUAUAGUUUUGAAAAAGUUCAAAUCACACCCUUAUGGUUUUAUUAAUUAAUUAAGGUGUAUAAUUAAAAGAGGUUUAAUAAAUCCAUAAAAGUUUAGGUUUACAAUUUAAUUGAAUUAAAAGUAUAAUUGUUAAAUUAGACCACCUAGUAUUUUAAAAGUAUAAAAUACACCCUAUACUAUAUAUAACAUUAAAAGUCUAACAUUAUAUAUAUGUAUGAGUAAAAGUCAGUCUUACCGUUAGUAGGCCUCAUUCACGAAGCUGGUCUAUAAGGGGUGUUUAAGGAAAUUGCCUAUAAAAUGGCGAUUGAAUGGGUAUCCACUCUUACCCACCGCACUCUUGACUAGUGGAGGGUCGUUAGCCGAACGGGUAGGAUAGGACGAAACCUUCCAUUAUAAGUAUAAUGAAUUAUUAAAGUAACUAAAUGUUUUCAUAAAAUUCCCAAUCUUAGUUACUUAGGCAAAAGUGAAUUGAUGCAAUUCCAUGAAAUUACACUUUGUGCCCUUGCGAAGACGUUAGUGGAGCGUGUGUGGUUUACCGGCACACUAAAUGGUUCUAAGCAAAGGUAGCAAAGGGUGACUCAAUGUUUGUCAUAGUUCGGUGGAGCGUGUGUGGUUUACCGGCACAUCGAAUAGGUGACUGUAACAUGUGAGGGCACCAUGUAAGUUUGCAUGGUUAUUCACACCCGCUUUGUGAUCCUCGGCAUCCCAGUCACAAACAAGAGGGGCAUAUCGAGAUUUAAACAUGCCAUUGAAAGUUCAAUGAAUCUCAAAGGAUCUAGGAGUUUUCAUAGAUUUAAAACUUAAAUUUCUUUUUCGUUUUUCAUGGUGGAAAUUAGUGAAUCGUCAUUCACUUACCUUCAAAUAUUCUGCAAUUAGGGUUACGGCAUCCCUCUCCCGAGUUGUAGAAUAUUGUGUUGGGUCCUAGCCUUAGUAUCUCAUUUGGGUGAUUUACUAAGGACUCAAUCAAUCAACUAACUUGAAUUCGUUUUCUCCCGUUUUGUAGAUGUCAAAGUUCGACAACUAUGGUCUUCCCAAAUCCCGUGGAACAAGCAUUCCACAUGAAGAUGAUAUUCCACGAUUCGAUCGAGGAACAAGAAAUCAUGCUUCACUUCCUCCUCCUCCUCCAAUUAUUCUCCCUAACCCACAAGUUCAAAGGCUUGAAAAGUUCAAGAUCACUCAAGCCCUUUUGGCAAGUAAACAUAAAGAAGGAAAGUCGGUGUGUGCACACGUCCUAGGGAUGAAGUCACACAUUGAUAGGUUAAGAAUGUUGGGAUCCGUUGUCUGUGAGGAAAUGGCUGUUGAUUGGGUUCUUCAGUCACUUCCUAACUCAUAUAGUGAGUUCGUAAGAGAGUACUAUAUGAUGAACCGCGACGUGACCCUUAUAGAUCUCACCUAUAUGCUUAUUGCUGCUGAAUCAGCAAUGGUUUGGCGCAAUAGAAAAGCAAAGUUGAUUGGUGAAUCUGCCUUCAAGACCUCUAUGGAUAUAGACAAUGGCAACGAAAGACAUGCUAUGAUCGAAAAGUUUGAUCAUAAGAGAAAGGCAAUGUCUGAAGUAGUUCCAUGUCAUGUUCCAAAAGAGUCAAUUUGCUUUUAUUGCCAAGAGAAAGGGCAUUGGAGACGAAGCUGCCCCAUUUACCUAAGAGAUCUAAGAGAUGGGAGAGUCGAAACGUAUGGCUCUAAUAUAGGUAAAAUCCAUUAACUAACUCUUUUAAGCUUCUAUUCUAGAUUCUUAAUACAUAAUGUGAUAAGAUUACAAUUGAUGUUUUGUAGGAUCGAAGAAAAGAAAGGAAGCUUAAGGGAAGAAGUGAGCAGAAUCUAACCGUGAAGGAAUGGAUUUCGAUCGCAUUUCUCGAAGAUUAGAUUCUUGAGCUACUACUUAGAGUUAGAAUUAGAUUGCUAAGAAAGAUGUAUUAGCAUAGUUUUUCAAUGAAUUGCAUUGUAAGGACAAAUUUUUUCCGCAAUAAAAUAAAUUUUGAUUUUAUAUUAUUUAUUUAUCCUUGCAAUGGCGUAUAUGAAAAAUUGAUGUUUGAAUGUUUCUAUUAUUAGCAAUAAUGGAUUUGGUUCUUAUUAUGUUAUUUAUGGAAAGUCGAGAGUUUACCAAAUAGGGAGAGUUUCUCAUCGCCCAAGUUUCAAUUGGACAGAAACUUGGAAUCAUGCAACUUGGUUGCACGAUGAAUGAGAAAUUUCAUAUUUGGAAAUUAGACUAAUUCAUUGACAAAGUGUCAAGUGAAGGACUAGGAGAUCGAGUACACAAAGUUGCGUGUUGAUCAAGUCCACCAUAAGAGUAACAAAGAUAUUCGUCAUGAUUUACUAAAGGUUUAGUAAAUAUGAUUAUACUUACAAGAUUAAGUGUAAUUCUGAAUUGAUUGAAAAAGUUUAAAUCAAUAGCAGAACGAAUAAGAAGAAUCAAGUAGGCAGAAAGAUAAAAGUUUCUCCAUUCUAAGAAGAAGGGAGAGUACCUUUUAUGCUUUAUGAUAGGUCUUAAUGAUUAAGAACCAUAUCUCAAUUGAUCCUCUAAGUGAGUCUUAGUACAAUUGUAUGUCUAAGAAGAGGAAUCAAGAAUUGAAGAAAUGGUUAAAUCAAGAAGUCAAUCAUACUUCGUUCCAAAACAAGUCUUAGAGUUAAGAUUGUGACAUUGAGUGGAAAGUAUUAAGAAGGUUUAUAACAUUCAUCAAAUGUGGAAAGUUGUGAUGUCUUGGAUAAGACAAAGACCAACUAGGACCAAUUUAUGAAGUGUUUUGAUAAAAACUACACUAACUCUUGAAUAUUUGUUUGUCAAGAAAUGUUUAUUGACAAGAGAAUCUUAUAUGUCAAGGAGUCAGUGGGAGUCUUAAUGGUCUUGAAAGGUUUCAAGAACAAAUCAAAUAAACCUUAUCGAUCAUCACUAGCACACGAGUUGAGGUUUACAACCUAUCGUGUUGACAUUAUUUUGUUUCUGUGCUAUUUCAAUUGAGUUAAUUAUGCAUGUGAGUUCUCAUUUUGAACGCAUAAAUGGCAAAUCACCUCAAUAGAUGAAAGGUACAUUGAUAGGAAAGGGUGAGUUGCUUAACUACUUGGAAGACAUGGUGGGCAGCUGUGCUACCAUAAGGCAAGAAAUCAAGAUUAAGAAAGUUCGGUCCAUAUGAGUUUGAAUUUGUCGUAAACUUUAGUUUUAACAAAUUCACAUGGAUAGGAACACAUACACCGUUUAAAUCUAAGUGUCAUAAGAUUUCCUCCUUCAUGAAAAUGAUUGUGAGGAAAUGCUUUCACUAAGAAAGAUUUUAAGAAGAUAGUGAUUGUAAAAUUGCAUUCUCGAAUUCAAUUAUGGUUACGGCAUCCCUUUCCAUAAUUUGAAUUGUGAGGUUUGGCAAUUAGUCUUAAUUGUUUAGACACACAUAUGAACUAUCGAAGGCAAAGGUGUAUAAGUUCAAGAAGCCUUGAUAAAAGAUUAUCAAAGCACUAAGUAUUAGAAACAUGAACUUAAGAAAUUCAAUAAGCAUUGUUUUUCUGAAAGUUAAGAUGUUUAUGAAUACAUGUCGAAGCUAGUGGGAGCAUAAGUGUUAUGUUUUAUAAUAAUCAUCAUGAUAGUGGGAGCAUAAAAGUUAUGAUUGUAUGAUUAUUAAGGAAAGUAUUGCAAGGUUAGCAAUAUUAAUUAUAGAAAACAAGAGUCAUACUUUGCAAAGUCGUAAGAGUUGAAAAGUUGUUUUGCUAUAAUUAAGGGAGAGAAUAUUAUGCUUCAUUUCAAAUCUAAAGGCUUAGGUUGUGGAAUGUUAAUAAAAUUUAGUCAAAGGUACAUAGUGUGUUCUUAAAAUUUCGAUUAUGAUUACGGCAUUCCUCUUCACAAUUCGAAUUUUGAGAACAUAGCAAAUAAAACAUUAUGCGUCGUGUCCCAUACGCUUCGGGUAUAGGAUCGAUUGCAAAUGCUUUAAUGUUUGACCAUUCUAAAAUUUUCCAAAUGUCGAGCGCAUUUAGAGGGAAAAGGGACUAGAAUUGGUUUUGACUAAAAUAAUUAAACAACUAUCAAAGGACAAUCCAAAGUUCGACGAGGAUUGGUCGCUUGUGAGUAGUUGGAAGUAUAGUAUUGGAAAAUAUGGAAAUGUUUCCAUAUUGGAUGGACCAUAUCGACAUCAUUACGAAUAGAUAAGAUUCUAUUAAGAAUGAGUUGUCAUAUGGAAAAUAUGGAAGCGUGUCCAUAUUGGGAAUUGAAUAUUGAAAAUCUAUGUCUAGAUUAGAAACU
rnacentral:lncRNA from 1 species